rnacentral:lncRNA from 1 species
GUGUCUUAAGGUGUUAUUCUAGUACGAAAUCUAUGAUAGAUCAAACGGAAAGAAUAGCUUCAUGUUAUUUUACUACGAACUCUUGAAUAGAUAGAACAGAAAGGAUAACUUUGAGGUGGUUUCGUACCCUACCAUAUCUCUUCGUUUGUUCUCCGCUAUUAGUGGCUUUGGAGUGACUCUUUGUUGCAUGUUGAGGGAUAGUUAUAUGAUCCAGUUAUGUUAUUAUUGUUGAGAGAACUUGCACUAGUGAAAGUAUGAACCUUAGGCCUUGUUUCCUAGCAUUGCAAUGCCGUUUACGCUCACUUUUAUCAUUAGUUACCUUGCUGUUUUUAUAAUUUCAGAUUACAAAAACCUAUAUCUAUCAUCCAUAUUGCACUUGUAUCACCAUCUCUUCGCCGAACUAGUGCACCUAUACAAUUUGCCAUUGUAUUGGGUGUGUUGGGGACACAAGAGACUCUUUGUUAUUUGGUUGCAGGGUUAUUUGAGAGAGACCAUCUUCUUCCUACGCCUCCCAUGGAUUGAUAAACCUUAGGUCAUCCACUUGAGGGAAAUUUGCUACUGUCCUACAAACCUCUGCACUUGGAGGCCCAACAACGUCUACAAGAAGAAGGUUGCGUAGUAGACAUCAAGCUCUUUUCUGGCGCCGUUGUCGGGGAGGUGUGUGCUUGAAGGUAUAUCUUUAGAUCUUGCAAUCGAAUAUUUUAGUUUCUUGUUUAAUCACUAGUUUAGUUUAUAAAAGAAAACUAAAAAAUGGAAUUAAGUUUGCCUCAUACGCUUCAUCUUUUUAAUAUCUUUCGUGAGAAUGAUGGUAAGGAAAACUGUGCUCAAUUGCUAGAAGAAGACUGCAUUAAAAUAUUUGGUACUAAAUCUUUGUAUGAUGAGCAUGAUUGCAAUGUUGUUAGUAUGAAUUCUUUGAAUACCCAUGAUGCUAAUGAUAUGCAAAGCCACAAGCUUGGGGAAGCUAUGUUUGAUGAAGAUGAUAUGUUUAGUCCCCCAAGUUUUGAUGAGAAUAUUUAUUAUGAUGAAAGAAUGACUCCUAUUUAUGAUGAUUAUAUUUAUGAAAGUGGAUUUGGAGAGGUCAUGACUUUAUUUAGUGAUGAAUCCACUAUUUCGGAAGAGGUUCCAAUUGAUUAUGAGAACAAAGUUGCUAUCUAUGAUGAUUAUUGUGAUGACUUGUAUGCUAUUAGGAAUAAUGAUAACCAUGAAACUUGUCAUCAUGAUUUUAGUUUUCAAUUGGAUUAUGUCUCACAUGAUAAUUAUUUUGUGAGUUUGCUCCCACUACUAUUCAUGAGAAGAAAAUUGCUUAUGUGGAGAGUAGUAAAUUUUCUAUGCUUGUAGAUCAUGAAAAGACUGCUUUAAGUGCUGGUUAUAUUGUUGAAUUCAUUCAUGAUGCUAUCGAAAAUUAUUAUGAGGGAGGAACAUAUGCUUGUAGGAAUUGCAAUAAUAUCAAGUUUCCUCUCUAUGUGUUGAAAUUUUUGAAGCUAUGCUUGUUUUACCUUCCUUUGCUAGUUAUUGUUCCCAUAAGUUGUUUGCUCACAAAAUCCCUAUGCAUAGGAAGAGUGUUAGACUUAAAUGUGCUAGUCAUAUGCUUCGUGAUGCCCCCGUUAUGUUUCAAUUCUUAUCUUUUAUGUGAGCAUCAUUGUCAUCAUCAUGCCUAGCUAGAAAGGCAUUAAAGAAAAGCGCUUUUUGGGAGACAACCCAAUAUUUACCCUUACUGUUUUAGUGUGUCCACAUGAUUAUGCUACUGUAGUAAUCAUGUUUUAUAGCUUUUGUUUCAAUAAAGUGCCAAGUAAGACCUUUAGGAUAGCUUACGGUGAUAGUUGUGUUGAUCCUGCUGAAAAUCAGAAACUUUUGCACCCAGUAAAUUAGUUUUGAUAAUUCACAGAAAGGUGCUUUUGAUAUGAUUCUUUUUUCUAUGGAUUGGUAAACAAAUUAAUCAAGUUUUCCUAAUUCGGUAGGAGUUUUGGAGUUCCAGAAGUAUACGUUUGAUACAGAUUACUACAGACUAUUCUGUUUUUGAUAGAUUCUGUUUUCUAUGUGUUGUUUGCUUAUUUUGAUGAAUCUAUGAGUAGUAUCGGAGGGUAUGCACCAUAGAUAAGUUGGAAUACAGUAGAUAUUAUACCAAUAUAAAUUUAGAAUGAGUUCAUUACAGUACCUAAGUGGUUGUUUUAUUUUCUUAUACUAAUGGAGCUUACGAGUUUUCUGUUGAGUUUUGUGUUGUGAAGUUUUCAAGUUUUGGGUUCGAUGGAUUAUGGAAUAAGGAGUGGCAAGAGCCUAAGCUUGGGGAUGCCCAAGUCACCCCAAGGUAAUAUUCAAGGACAACCAAGAGCCUAAGCUUAUGGAUGCCCUGGAUGGCAUCCCCUCUUUCGUCUUCGUUCACCGGUAACUUUACUUGGAGCUAUAUUUUUUAUUCACCACAUGAUAUGUGUAUUGCUUGGAGCGUCAUGUCAUUUUAUUUUGUUUUGCUUGCUGUUUGAAUAAAUUACCAAGAUAUGAAAUUCUUAAAUGUUAGAGAGUCUUCACAAAGUUACAUACUUAUUCAACUACUCAUUGAUCUUCACUUAUAUCUUUUGGAGUAGUUUGUCAUUUGCUCUAGUGCUUCACUUAUAUUUUUUUGAGCAUGGCGGUGGUUCUAUUUUGUAGAAAGUAUUAACCUCUCAUGCUUCACUUUAUUAUUUUGAGAGUAUUUUAGAACAACAUGGUAUUUGCUAUGGUUAUAAAAUUGGUCCUAGAAUGAUGGGCAUCCAAGUUGGGUAUAAUAAAAAACUAUCAUAGAAAGUGAAUUGGAUGCUAUGAUCAAUUUGAUGCUUUAUAAUUGUUUUGAGAUAUGAGCAUGGUGAUAUUAGAGUCAUGCUAGUGGGGUAAUUAUGAAUUUGAGGAAUACUUGUGUUGAAGUUUGUGAUUCCUGUAGCAUGCACGUAUGGUGAACUGCCUUGUGAUGAAGUUGGAGCAUAAUUUAUUUAUUGAUUGUCUUCCUUAUGAGUGGCGGUUGGGGAUGAGCGAUGGUCUUUUCCUACUAAUCUAUCCCCCUAGGAGCAUGUGCGUAGUACUUUGUUUUCAAUGGCUUGUAGAUUUUUUCAAUAAGUAUAUGAGUUCUUUAUGACUAAUGUUGAGUCCAUGGAUUAUACGCACUCUCACCCUUCCACCAUUGCUAGCCUCUCUUGUGCCGUCCACAAAACAUCCACCAUACCUACCUAUUAUGGCAUUUCCAUAGCCCUUCCGAGAUAUAUUGCCAUGCAACUUUCCACCGUUCUGUUUAUUAUGACACACUCCAUCAUUGUCAUAUUGUUUUUGCAUGAUCAUGUAGUUGACAUCGUAUUUGUGGCAAAGCCACCUUGAUAAUUCUUUCAUACAUGUCACUCUUGAUUCAUUGCAUAUCCCGGUACACCACCGGAGGAAUCCACAUAGAGUCAUAUUUUGUUCUAAGUAUCGAGUUGUAAUUCUUGAGUUGUAAGAAAAUAAAAGUGUGAUGAUCUUCAUUAUUAGAGCAUUGUCCCAAGUGAGGAAAGUAUGAUGGAGACUAUGAUUCCCCCACAAGUCGGGAUGAGACUUCGGACUUUAAAAAAAAGAAAGAGAAAGGCCAUAAAAAAGGAAAGGCCCUAAAGAAAAAGAGAAAUGCCAUAAAAAAGGAAGGCCCAAAAAAAUGAGAGAAAAAGAGAGAAGGGACAAUGCUACUAUCCUCUUUCCACACUUGUGCUUCAUUGUAGCACCAUGAUCUUCAUGAUAGAGAGUCUCCUAUGUUGUCACUUUCAUAUACUAGUGGGAAUUUUUCAUUAUAGAACUUGGCUUGUAUAUUCCAAUGAUGGGCUUCCUCAAAAUGCCCUAGGUCUUCAUGAGCAAGAAAGUUGGAUGCACACCCACUUAGUUUCUUUUGUUGAGCUUUCAUACACUUAUAGCUCUAGUGCAUCCGUUGUGUGACGCCCCCGAUUCAAUCGUACACUAAUCAUACACGCAAACGUGUACGAUCAAGAUCAGGGACUCACGGGAAGAUAUCACAACACAACUCUAAAACAUAAAUAAGUCAUACAAGCAUCAUAAUACAAGCCAGGGGCCUCGAGGGCUCGAAUACAAGUGCUCGAUCAUAGACGAGACAGCGGAAGCAACAAUAUCUUAGUACAGACAUAAGUUAAACAAGUUGCCAUAAGAUGGCUAGCACAAACUGGGAUGCAGAUCGAAAGAGGCGUAGGCCUCCUGCCUGGGAUCCUCCUAACUACUCUUGGUCGUUGUCAGCGGCCUGCACGUAGUAGUAGGAACCUCCAGUGUAGUAGGAAUCAUCGUCGACGGUGGCGUCUGGCUCCAGGGCUCCAGCAUCUGGUUGCGACAACCAGGUAGAAGGGAAAGGGGAAAAGAGGGAGAAAAGCAACCGUGAGUACUCAUCCAAAGUACUCGCAAGCAAGGAGCUACACUACAUAUGCAUGGGUAUAUGUGUAAAAGGCCAUAUCGAUGGACUGAACUGCAGAAUGCCAGAAUAAGAGGGGGAUAGCUAAUCCUGUCGAAGACUACGCUUCUGGCAGCCUCCGUCUUGCAGCAUGUAGAAGAGAGUAGAUUGAAGUCCUCCAAGUAGCAUCUCCAAGUAGCAUCUCCAGUAGCAUCGCAUGGCAUAAUCCUACCCGGCGAUGCUCCCCUCGUCGCCCUGUGGAAAAGCGAUCACCGGGUUGUUUGUGGAACUUAGAAGGGUGUGUUUUAUUAAGGAUCCGACUCUAGUUGUCAUAAGGUCAAGGUACAACUCCAAGUCGUCCUGUUACCGAAGAUCACGGCUAUUCGAAUAGAUUAACUUCCCUGCAGGGGUGCACCACAUAACCCAACACGCUUGAUCCCAUUUGGCCGGACACACUUUCCUGGGUCAUGCCCGGCCUCGGAAGAUCAACACGUCGCAGCCCCACCUAGGCACAACAGAGAGGUCAGCAUGCCGGUCUAAAUCCUAUGCGCGCAGGGGUCUGGGCCCAUCACCCAUUGCACACCUGCACGUUGCGUACGCGGCCGGUGAGCAGACCUAGCAACCUCCAUUACAAAGGAAGUUGCGUUAAUGCAGUCCAACCCGACGCGCGCCGCUCAGUCGCUGACGUCAAGAAGGCUUCGGCUGAUACCACGACGCCGGGAUACCCAUAACUACUCCCGCGUAGAUGGUUAGUGCGUAUAGACCAAAUGGCCAGACUCAGAUCAAAUACCAAGAUCUUGUUAAGCGUGUUAAGUAUCCGUGAACGCCGAACAGGGCCAGGCCCACCUGUCUCCUAGGUGGUCUCAACCUGCCCUGUCGCUCCGCCACAAAGUAACAGUCAGGGGCCGUUGGGAACCCAGACCCACCUCUACCGGGAUGGAGCCACCUGUCCUUUCAGCCCCCUCAUCAGAAUCACUUGCGGGUACUCAUCGAGUUGACCCGACUUUAUUCACCAUCUGUAUAGUAUGUAUGUAUGUAUAGUAUAUACCCGUGAUCACCUCCCGAGUGAUCACAGCCCAAUAGUAUAGCAAGGCAGACUGACAAGAAUGUAGGGCCAAUGAUGAUAAACCAGCAUCCUAUACUAAGUAUUUAGGAUUGCGGGUAAGGUAUCAAUGACUGUAGCAACAAUGACAGGCUAUGCAACAGAAUAGGAGUAACCGAACAGUAACAUGCUACACUACUCUAAUGCAAGCAGUAUAGAGAAGAAUAGGCGAUAUCUGGUGAUCAAAGGGGGGGGCUUGCCUGGUUGCUCUGGCAAGAGAGAGGGGUCGUCAACUCCGUAGUCGAACUGGGGCAUCAGCAUCGUCAUGGGGUCUACCGAAGAGAAGAGGGGGGGAGAAACAGUAAAUACAUAGCAAGCAAGUGCAUAACAGGAUAACAGGUAGAGCUAGACGUGUUCUAACGCGGUAUGAGGUGAUACCGGUGAAGGGGGAAACAUCCGGGAAAAUAUCCCCGGUGUUUCGUGUUUUCGGACAGAUGAACCAGAGGGGGAAAGUUGCGAGUUUGAUAUGUUAGGGGUGCGUGGAGGAUGAACGGGCUGCGUAUCCGGGUUCGUCUCGUCGUUCUGAGCAACUUUCAUGUAGAAAGUAUUUUCAUCCGAGCUACGGUUUAUUUUAUAUGAUUUUCUAAAGUUUUAAUCAUUUUUAGAAUUUAUUUAACUAUUUAAUUCUAACAUUAUCCAGAAUAGUGCAUGCUGAUGUCAUGACGUCAGCAUGACGUCAGCAGUCAACAGGGAGUUGACUGGGUCAAUCUGACGUGUGGGUCCCGCAUGUCAUACUCUAUUUACUCUAAUUAGGAUUUAACUAAUCUAAUCACAGUUUAAAUAACUCACAAUAGUUAAUUAGGUUAACUAAACAAGAUUAAUUAAGUUAAUUAAUUCACUAAUUAAUUGAUUAUUUAUUUAUUAAUUUUAUUAUUUCAUUUUUAUUUUAUUUCCUUUUUCUUUUCUCUUUUUUUUAAACGUUCUGGGGCCGGGCCCCACAUGUCUGUGGCCCAUAGGGGCCUAGAGGGCGUGGGCGUCGGGGCACAGCCCGAACAGGGGCGCACCCGACCGGGCGUUGUGGGGCGGCGGUGUGGGGGUGAGGCCACCGGGCGCGACCGAGGCGGUCGGCACGCGUGCGGGCGUCGNNNNNNNNNNNNNNNNNNNNNNNNNNNNNNNNNNNNNNNNNNNNNNNNNNNNNNNNNNNNNNNNNNNNNNNNNNNNNNNNNNNNNNNNNNNNNNNNNNNNNNNNNNNNNNNNNNNNNNNNNNNNNNNNNNNNNNNNNNNNNNNNNNNNNNNNNNNNNNNNNNNNNNNNNNNNNNNNNNNNNNNNNNNNNNNNNNNNNNNNNNNNNNNNNNNNNNNNNNNNNNNNNNNNNNNNNNNNNNNNNNNNNNNNNNNNNNNNNNNNNNNNNNNNNNNNNNNNNNNNNNNNNNNNNNNNNNNNNNNNNNNNNNNNNNNNNNNNNNNNNNNNNNNNNNNNNNNNNNNNNNNNNNNNNNNNNNNNNNNNNNNNNNNNNNNNNNNNNNNNNNNNNNNNNNNNNNNNNNNNNNNNNNNNNNNNNNNNNNNNNNNNNNNNNNNNNNNNNNNNNNNNNNNNNNNNNGGAGAGGCACGCGGUGAGCGCGCAACGGGCGGGGUCGGAGCGCGUCGACCGCGGGCGGGGAUGGUGGUGACCGGGGCGACACAGGGAGAGAGGGGGCGAAGGGGGACGACAGCGCUCACUUGCGAGCAGGGAAGGGGGCGACGAGGCGCGUUGGCGUCGGCGAGGGAGAGGCGAUGGAGCGGCGACGACGAGGUGGCGGAGCACAGCAGCGGCGAGGCGGCGCCGGGGAUGGGCGCCGGCGUCGCAGGCUCAGGGCGGCGCGGGAUCUGGCCCCUCCCCGAUCCAGUCGAGUAGGGGGGCGCCUGGGAGGAGGCAGGGGGCGGUGGUGCGGCGGUCCGGCGAGGUGGCCCCGGGCGGUGGCGACGGGCAGCGCCGCGGGUCGAACGACGGCGGCGGGCUAGGGUGCCUUGACCCAAAUGGGAUCGGGAGAAAGAGAGGGAGAGUGGGGAACGAGGAGGAGUGGGGUACUGGGUGUCGGUUAGGGUUUAGGCAGGGGUGUAUAGGGAGCGUGGGUGGGCUGGCCGGUUGGCCGAAUGGGCCAGCCUGUUGGGUCGGCUGGCCCGGGGGUCCUUUUCCCUUUUUUUGUUUGUUUUCUCUUUUGUAGUUUCUUUCUUUUAUUUAUUUUCUUUUCUGUUUUUAAAUCAUUUUAAAUUCCUUAGGCAUUUUAUAAAAAUGGGUUUAUUGCACCAUAAUUACCUUUGUAAUAUUUAGUACAAACCAAACAUUUGUAUUUUAAUGUUUGAAAACUUUUAUUGUUUGACUUAAAUUCAAAUUUGAAUUUGGAUCGGUUCUAAACUAACGCGAGAAUAUCAACAAUAAUCGAGGUGACGUGGCAUCAUUACUAGAGGGUUACUGUAGCUUGAUUGCCCGGGCGUCACAAUUCUCCUCCACUAUAAGAAAUCUCGUCCCGAGAUUUAAGAGGUAGUGUAAGGGGGGAAAGUUGUUGGGGAACGUAGCAGAAAUUCAAAAUUUUCCUAUGUGUCACCAAGAUCUAUCUAUGGAGAAACUAGCAACGAGGGGAAGGAGAGUGCAUCUACAUACCCUUGUAGAUCGCUAAGCGGAAGCGUUCAAGAGAACGGGGUUGAAGGAGUCGUACUCGUCGUGAUCCAAAUCACCGGAGAUCCUAGUGCCAAACGGACGGCACCUCCGUGUUCAACACACGUACAGCCCGGUGACGUCUCCCACGCCUUGAUCCAGCAAGGAGAGAGGGAGAGGUUGAGGAAGACUCCAUCCAGCAGCAGUAGAACGGCGUGGUGGUGGUGGAGGAGCGUGGCAAUCCAGCAGGGCUUCGCCAAGCACCACGGGAGAGGAGGAGGAGGAGAGGCAGGGCUGCACCAAGAGGGAGAAGUUCUCAUGUGUUGGCAGCCCCAAAACCUCAAGUAUAUAUAGGGGGGAAGGGGGCUGCGCCCCCUUUAGGGUUUCCCACCCCAAGGGGUGCGGCCAGCCCUAGAUGGGACUUGGAGGGGGCGGCCAAGAGGGGGAGAGAGGGGGCGCGCCCUAGGGUGGGCCUAUAGGCCCAUCUGCGCCUAUGGUUUCCCCUCUCCCCUCCUAGCUGCGCCUUGGGCAAGGGUGGGAGGCGCACCAGCCCACUCUGGGGCUGGUCCCUUUCCACUCUAGGCCCAUGCAAGCCUCCGGGGCUGGUGGCCCCACUUGGUGGACCCCGGGACCCUCCCGGUGGUCCCGGUACGUUACCGAUAAAACCCGAAACUUUUCCGGUGACCAAAACAGGACUUCCCAUAUAUAAAUCUUUACCUCCGGACCAUUCCGGAACUCCUCGUGACGUCCGGGAUCUCAUACGGGACUCCGAACAACAUUCGGUAACCACAUACAAACUUCCUUUAUAACCCUAGCGUCAUCAAACCUUAAGUGUGUAGACCCUACGGGUUCGGGAGACAUGCAGACAUGACCGAGACAUUCUCCGGUCAAUAACCAAUAGCGGGAUCUGGAUACCCAUGUUGGCUCCCACAUGUUCCACGAUGAUCUCAUCGGAUGAACCACGAUGUCAAGGACUCAAUCGAUCCCGUAUACAAUUCCCUUUGUCUAGCGGUAUUUUACUUGCCCGAGAUUCGAUCGUCGGUAUACCGAUACCUUGUUCUAUCUCGUUACCGGCAAGUCUCUUUACUCGUUCCAUAACACAUCAUCCCGUGAUCAACUCCUUGAUCACAUUGUGCACAUUAUGAUGAUGUCCUACCGAGUGGGCCCAGAGAUACCUCUCCGUUUACACGGAGUGACAAAUCCCAGUCUCGAUUCGUGCCAACCCAACAGACACUUUCGGAGAUACCUGUAAUGCACCUUUAUAGCCACCCAGUUACGUUGUGACGUUUGGUACACCCAAAGCAUUCCUACGGUAUCCGGGAGUUGCACAAUCUCAUGGUCUAAGGAAAAGAUACUUGACAUUAGAAAAGCUUUAGCAUACGAACUACACGAUCUUUGUGCUAGGCUUAGGAUUGGGUCUUGUCCAUCACAUCAUUCUCCUAAUGAUGUGAUCCCGUUAUCAACGACAUCCAAUGUCCAUAGCCAGGAAAUCAUGACUAUCUGUUGAUCACAACGAGCUAGUCAACUAGAGGCUCACUAGGGACAUAUUGUGGUCUAUGUAUUCACACGUGUAUUACGAUUUCCGGAUAAUACAGUUAUAGCAUGAAUAAAAGACAAUUAUCAUGAACAAGGAAAUAUAAUAAUACUUUUAUUAUUGCCUCUAGGGCAUAUUUCCAACAGUCUCCCACUUGCACUAGAGUCAAUAAUCUAGUUCACGUCGCCAUGUGAUUAACACUGACAGGUCACAUCGCCAUGUGAUCAACAUCCAAAGAGUUUACUAGUGUCAUUAAACUAGUUCACAUCAUCAUGUGAUUAAGACUCAAUGAGUUCUGGGGUUUGAUCAUGUUUUGCUUGUGAGAGAGGUUUUAGUCAACGGGUCUGCAACAAUCAGAUCCGUAUGUGCUUUACAAAUCUCUAUGUCAUCUCCUAGAUGCAGCUACCACGCUCUAUUUGGAGCUAUUCCAAAUAACUGUUCUACUUGGAGCUAUUCUAAAUUGUUGCUCCAUUAUACGUAUCCGGUAUCUCUACUCAGAGCUAUCCGGAUAGGUGUUAAGCUUGCAUCGACGUAACCCUUUACGACGAACUCUUUUACCACCUCCAUAAUCAGGAAAAUUCCUUAGUCCACUAGUUACUAAGGAUAACUUUGACCGCUGUCCUGUGAUCCAUUCAUGGAUCACUCUUGUACCCCUUGACUGACUCAUGGCAAGGCACACUUCAGGUGCGGUACACAGCAUAGCAUACUGAAGAGCCUACGUCUUAAGCAUAGGGGACGACCUUCGUCCUUUCUCUCUAUUCUGCCGUGGUCGAGCUUUAAGUCUUAACUUCGUACCUUACAAUUCAGGCAAGAACUCCUUCUUUGACUGGUCCAUCUUGAACACCUUCAAGAUCAUGUCAAGGUAUGUGCUCAUUUGGAAGUACCAUUAAGUGUUUUGAUCUAUGCUUAUAGAUCUUGAUGCUCAAUGCUCAAGUAGCUUAAUCCAGGCUUUCCAUUGAAAAACACUUUCAAAAUAACCCUAUAUGCUUUCUAGAAAUUCUACAUCAUUUCUGAUCAUCAAUAUGUCAACAACAUAUACUCAUCAGAAAUUCUAUAGUGCUCCCACUCACUUCUUUGGAAAUACAAGUUUCUCAUAAACUUUAUAUAAACCCAAAAUCUUUGAUCAUCUCAUCAAAGCAUACAUUCCAACUCUGAGAUGCUUACUCCAGUCCAUGGAAGGAUUGCUGGAGCUAGCAUACCUUUUAGCAUCCUUAGGAUCGACAAAACCUUUCUGAUUGUAUUACAUACAACCUUUCCUUACGGAGACUGGUAAGGAAACUCGUUUUGACAUCCAUCUGCCAGAUUUCAUAAAUGCAGCUAAUGCUAACAUGAUUCCGACGGAUUUAAGCAUCGCUACGAAUGAGAAAAUCUCAUCGUAGUCAACUCCUUGAACUUGUGAAAAAACUCUUCGCCACAAGUCGAGCUUCAUAGAUGGUAACAUCACCGUCCACGUCCGUCCUUUUCUUAAAGAUCCAUUUAUCUCAAUGGCUUGCCGAUCAUCGGGCAAGUCCACCAAAGUCCAUGCUUUGUUCUGAUACAUGGAUCCUAUCUCGGAUUUCAUGGCUUCUAACCAUUUGUCGGAAUUUGGGCCCACCAUUGCUUCUCCAUAGCUCGUAGGUUCAUUGUUGUCUAGCAACAUGAGCUUCAAGACAGGAUUACCGUACCACUCUGAAGUGGUACGCAUCCUUGUCACCCUACGAGGUACGGUAGUGACUUGAUCCAAAACUUCAUGAUCACUAUCAUAAGCUUCUACUUCAAUUGGUGUAGGUGCCACAGGAACAACUUCCUAUGCCCUGCUACACACUAGUUGAAGUGACGGUUCAAUAACCUCAUCAAGUCUCCACCAUCCUUCCACUCAACUCUUUCGAGAGAAACCUUUCCUCGAGAAAGGACCCGAUUCAAGAAACAAUCCAUAUUGCCUUCGGAUCUAAAUUAGGAGGUAUACCCAACUGUUUUGGGUGUCCUAUGAAGAUGUAUUUCAUCCGCUUUGGGUUCGAGCUUAUCAAUCCUGAAACUUUUUCACAUAAGCGUCGCAGCCCCAAACCUUUAAGAAACGACAACUUAGGUUUCUCUAAACCAUAAUUCAUACGGUGUCAUCUCAACGGAAUUACGUGGUGCCCUAUUUAAAGUGAGUGCGGUUGUCUCUAAUGCCUAACCCAUGAACGAUAGUGGUAAUUCGAUAAGAGACAUCAUGGUACGCACCAUAUCCAAUAGGGUGCAACUAUGAUGUUCGGACACACCAUCAAACUAUGGUGUUCCAGGCGGUAUUAAUUGUGAAACAAUUUCCACAAUGUCUUAAUUGCGUGCCAAAGCUCGUAACUCAGAUACUCAUCUCUAUGAUCUUAUCAUAGACAUUUUAUCCUCUUGUCACGAUGAUCUUCAACUUCACUCUGAAAUUACUUGAACCAUUCAAUAAUUCAGACUUGUGUUUCAUCAAGUAAAUAUAUUCAACAUCUACUCGAAUCAUCUGUGAAGUAAGAACAUAACGAUAUUCACUGCAUGCCUCAGCACUCAUUGGACUACACACAUCAAAAUGUGUUACUUCCAACAAGUUGCUAUCUUGUUCCAUCUUACUAAAACCGAGGCUUUUCAGUCAUCUUGCCCAUGUGGUAUGAUUUGCAUAUCUCAAGUGAUUCAAAAUCAAGUGAGUCCAAACGAUCCAUCUGCAUGGAGUUUCUUCAUGCGUAUACACCAAUAGACAUGGUUCGCAUGUCUCAAACUUUUCAAAAACGAGUGAGUCCAAAGAUCCAUCAACAUGGAGCUUCUUCAUGCGUUUUAUACCAUUAUGACUUACAUGGCAGUGCCACAAGUAAGUGGUACUAUCAUUACUAUCUUAUAUCUUUUGGCAUGAAAAUGUGUAUCACUACGAUCGAGAUUCAAUAAACCAUUCCUUUAGGUGCAAGACCAUUGAAGGUUUUAUUCAAAUAAAUAGAGUAACCAUUAUUCUCCUUAAAUGAAUAACCGUAUUGCGAUAGACAUAAUCCAAUCAUGUCUAUGCUCAACGCAAACACCAAAUGACAAUUACUCAGGUUUAAUACUAAUCUUGAUGGUAGAGGGAGCGUGCGAUGUUUGAUCACAUCAAACUUGGAAACACUUCCAACACAUAUCGUCAGCUCACCUUUAGCUAGUCUCCGUUUAUUCCGUAGCUCUUUUAUUUCGAGUUACUAACACUUAGCAACCGAACUGGUAUCUAAUACCCUGGUGCUACUAGGAGUACUAGUAAAGUACACAUUAACAUAAUGUAUAUCCAAUAUACUUCUAUCGACCUUUCCAGCCUUCUUAUCUACCAAGUAUCUAGGGUAAUGCUGCUCCAGUGGCUGUUCCCUUAUUACAGAAGCACUUAGUCUCGGGUUUGGGUUCAACCUUGGGUUUCUUCACUAGAGCAGCAGCUGAUUUGCCGUUUCAUGAAGUAUCCCUUCUUGCCCUUGCCCUUCUUGAAACUAGUGGUUUCACCAACCAUCAACAAUUGAUGCUCCUUCUUGAUUUCUACUUUCGCGAUGUCAAACAACGCGAAUACCUCAAGGAUCAUCAUCUCUAUCCUUGAUAUGUUGUAGUUUAUCACGAAGCUCUAGCAGCUUGGUGGCAAUGACUUUGGGGAAACAUCACUAUCUCAUCUGGAAGAUUAACUCCCACUCGAUUCAAGUGAUUGUCGCACUCAGACAAUCUGAGCACAAGCUCAACGAUUGAGCUUUUCUCCCUUAGUUUGCAGGCUAAGAAAAUUGUCGGAGGUCUUAUACCUCUUGACGUGGGCACGAGCCUGAAAUCCCAAUUUCAGCCCUCGAAACAUCUCAUAUGUUCCGCGAUGUUUCGAAAAACAUCUUUGGUGCCUCUACUUAAACCAUUUAACUGAACUAUCACGUAGUUAUCAAAACGUGUAUGUCCGAUGUUCGCAACAUCCACAAACGACGUUUGGGGUUCAGCACACUAAGCGGUGCAUUAUGGACAUAAGCUUUCUACUGAUCGCAUAAUCGGUACUGUCAACUUUCAACUAUAAUUUUCUCUAGGAACAUAUCUAAACAGUAGAACCAUAGCGUGAGCUACGACAUAAUUUGCAAAAGGUCUUUUGACUAUGUUCAGGAUAAUUAAGUUCAUCUUAUGAACUCCCACUCAGAUAGACAUCCCUCUGGUCAUCUAAGUGAUUACAUGAUCCGAGUCAACUAGGCCGUGUCCGAUCAUCACGUGAGACGGACUAGUCAUCAUCGGUGAACAUAUUCAUGUUGAUCGUAUCUACUAUACGACUCAUGCUCGACCUUUCGGUCUCCGUGUUCCGAGGCCAUGUCUGUACAUGCUAGGCUCGUCAAGUUAACCCUAAGUGUUUUCGCGUGUGUAAAUCUGUCUUACACCCGUUGUAUGUGAACGUAAGAAUCCAUCACACCCGAUCAUCACGUGGUGCUUAGAAGCGACGAACUGUAGCAACGGUGCACAGUUAGGGGAGAACACUUCUUGAAAUUGUUGUAACGGAUCAUCUUAUUUACUACCGUCGUUCUAAGUAAACAAGAUGCAUAAACAUGAUAAACAUCACAUGCAAUCAAAUAGUGACAUGAUAUGGCCAAUAUCAUUUUGCUCCUUUUGAUCUCCAUCUUCGGGGCUCCAUGAUCAUCAUCGUCACCGGCAUGACACCAUGAUCUCCAUCAUCAUGAUCUCCAUCAUCGUGUCUUCAUGAAGUUGUCACGCCAACGACUACUUCUACUUCUAUGGCUAACACAUUUAGCAAUAAAGUAAAGUAAUUUACAUGGCGUUGUUCAAUGACACGCAGGUCAUACAAUAAAUAAAGACAACUCCUAUGGCUCCUGCCGGUUGUCAUACUCAUCGACAUGCAAGUCGUGAAUCCUAUUACAAGAACAUGAUCAAUCUCAUACAUCACAUAUCAUUUCAUCACAUUCUUCUUGGCCAUAUCACAUCACAUAGCAUACCCUGCAAAAACAAGUUAGACGUCCUCUAAUUGUUGUUUGCAUGUUUUACGUGGCUGCUAUGGGUUUCUAGCAAGAACGUUUCUUACCUACGCAAAACCACAACGUGAUAUGCCAAUUGCUAUUUACCCCUCAUAAGGACCCUUUUCAUCGAAUCCGUUCCGACUAAAGUGGGAGAGACUGGCACCCGCUAGCCACCUUAUGCACCAAGUGCAUGUCAAUCGGUGGAACCUGUCUCACGUAAGAGUACGUGUAAGGUCGGUCCGGGCCGCUUCAUCCCACAAUACCGUCGAAACAAGAUUGGACUAGUAACGGUAAGCAUAUUGAACAAAAUCAACGCCCACAACUACUUUGUGUUCUACUCGUGCAAAGAAUCUACGCAAUAGACCUAGCUCAUGAUGCCACUGUUGGGGAACGUAGCAGAAAUUCAAAAUUUUCCUACGUGUCACCAAUAUCUAUCUAUGGAGAAACUAGCAACGAGGGGAAGGAGAGUGCAUCUACAUACCCUUGUAGAUCGAUAAGCGGAAGCGUUCAAGAGAACGGGGUUGAAGGAGUCGUACUCGUCGUGAUCCAAAUCACCGGAGAUCCUAGUGCCGAACGGACAGCACCUCCGCGUUCAACACACGUACAGCCCGGUGACGUCUCCCAUGCCUUGAUCCAGCAAGGAGAGAGGGAGAGGUUGAGGAAGACUCCAUCCAGCAGCAGCAGAACGGCGUGGUGGUGGUGGAGGAGCGUGGCAAUCCAGCAGGGCUUCGCCAAGCACCACGGGAGAGGAGGAGGAGGAGAGGCAGGGCUGCACCAAGAGGGAGAAGUUCUCAUGUGUUGGCAGCCCCAAAACCUCAAGUAUAUAUAGGGGGGAAGGGGGCUGCGCCCCCUUUGGGGUUUCCCACCCCAAGGGGUGCGGCCAGCCCUAGAUGGGACUUGGAGGGGGCGGCCAAGAGGGGGAGAGAGGGGGCGCGCCCUAGGGUGGGCCUAUAGGCCCAUCUGCGCCUAGGGUUUCCCCUCUCCCCUCCUAGCUGCGCCUUGGGCAAGGGUGGGAGGCGCACCAGCCCACUCUGGGGCUGGUCCCUUUCCACUCUAGGCCCAUGCAAGCCUCCGGGGCUGGUGGCCCCACUUGGUGGACCCCGGGACCCUCCCGGUGGUCCCGGUACGUUACCGAUAAAACCCGAAACUUUUCCGGUGACCAAAACAGGACUUCCCAUAUAUAAAUCUUUACCUCCGGACCAUUCCGGAACUCCUCGUGAUGUCCGGGAUCUCAUCCGGGACUCCGAACAACAUUUGGUAACCACAUACAAACUUCCUUUAUAACCCUAGCAUCAUCGAACCUUAAGUGUGUAGACCCUACGGGUUCAGGAGACAUGCAGACAUGACCGAGACGUUCUCCGGUCAAUAACCAACAGCGGGAUCUGGAUACCCAUGUUGGCUCCCACAUGUUCCACGAUGAUCUCAUCGGAUGAACCACGAUGUCAAGGACUCAAUCGAUCCCGUAUACAAUUCCCUUUGUCUAGCGGUAUUUUACUUGCCCGAGAUUCGAUCGUCGGUAUACCGAUACCUUGUUCUAUCUCGUUACCGGCAAGUCUCUUUACUCGUUCCGUAACACAUCAUCCCGUGAUCAACUCCUUGAUCGCAUUGUGCACAUUAUGAUGAUGUCCUACCGAGUGGGCCCAGAGAUACCUCUCCGUUUACACGGAGUGACAAAUCCCAGUCUCGAUUCGUGCCAACCCAACAGACACUUUCGGAUAUACCUGUAAUGCACCUUUAUAGCCACCCAGUUACGUUGUGACGUUUGGUACACCCAAAGCAUUCCUACGGUAUCCGGGAGUUGCACAAUCUCAUGGUCUAAGGAAAAGAUACUUGACAUUAGGAAAGCUUUAGCAUACGAACUACACGAUCUUUGUGCUAGGCUUAGGAUUGGGUCUUGUCCAUCACAUCAUUCUCCUAAUGAUGUGAUCCCGUUAUCAACGACAUCCAAUGUCCAUAGCCAGGAAAUCAUGACUAUCUGUUGAUCACAACGAGCUAGUCAACUAGAGGCUCACUAGGGACAUAUUGUGGUCUAUGUAUUCACACGUGUAUUACGAUUUCCGGAUAAUACAGUUAUAGCAUGAAUAAAAGACAAUUAUCAUGAACAAGGAAAUAUAAUAAUACUUUUAUUAUUGCCUCUAGGGCAUAUUUCCAACAAAAGUUUGAUAAUGAAUCUAGCGAAUCUUUUCGGUCUUGGUUGCUCUUCUCGAAGAGGUCGAUCCAUUACAUUGAUUUCUUCAUUCCUCUGUUUCAGAUCCUCAUGAUGAAGUCGGCUCUUUUCUUUGGGAACUCCAUCGUAUUUACGAAUAGGUAACGGGGCAGGUCGGCAACGAUAGAAUGUUAUAAGGGUUAUAAUCUGGGAUUAACCCAUGAAUGAGCAUAAGAGUACCUCUCGAGUUUGAACAUUUAAAAGACAUCGAGAGUAAAGUUGGGAGGUACAAUAAGAAGUUUCAAGCAGCCAGGCAAUCAUUCAAUGCCUAGUCAGAAGGUGAAAGUGGUUUCAAAGCAACGGGAUAAUUAUUGUGUCCGAUGCCAGAAUUGAUGAUCUCAUCGGAAAGGUGGCUCAUGAAUUACUUACGAGUCCACGCGGGAGGAAUAACUUUGGAAACUGGGGUGUGCAGGAGAGUCAGGUUUUGAUCCUAGGAACUGUGGGUUAUGGGCCCACCAUGUUCUUAAAAGUAGAAAGGGCGGAGACGUCUUGCGUGAUCAUGCAAGCAAGGCAUGUCAGGGGGGUAGCCUGUCGAUUAUGUCGGCGACAACGUCGAUACCAAGGGCGAGGGACGAAGAGAACUAUUUUCCUGCUCGUUGAACGAGGCGGUCCAAGAGGCAAAGUUCUCAUCCAUCGGCGGUUACCGAAAUGUCAUCAACAAUAGAAACAGGGUCUCACUAUCAGAGUUGUACACCAAGGUGUUUACAUAAGCAGGGAAAUAUUACUGCUUAUAUCAUAUAGAUCACAAGAAGGUUUAAACAAACCAAUGGAAAGGAAAAGUGGUUAUCAGAUUUAAUCAAAACAAUGGAAAGAAAAAUGUGUUAAAACACAUAUAUCAGGGGGUAUAUCCUUCCCAAGGGCAAGCAAAGCAUGAUAUUCAUGACGGGAUAUAACGUAGAAAACCCCUUUAGGAAAGGGAAGAGAAAUUUUCAUGACAUUACCCAUACAACGGUGUUUGGAUAAUUGAUCAAGAAGCAUUUAGCAUUGGGCUUUAAAUGUUCUUGUUGAAAAUCAGAGUAUCACAGACAUGCUUCGAGAUAGCAUUUGACGUGGUCACUGGGUAAAGAUCAGACUUUGGAUACUAGAAGGAUCCAUUAGGAACAGCUUGUAGAAUAAGUCUAACAAUUUCCUCAUGGAAGAAUGGAUAGCAUUGCUAAAAGGAAAAUUAUAAUGAUAGGUCCUCCGGUCAGGUGUGCUAGGCAUGACAUCACCUUAUCGGGUCAAAUGCUAAUGUUAUAACUCUAGGAAAUAUGUCCCGGCCACCAUAUCUGACCGAGAUUCAGAUCUGAUUGGUGUCAGGAUACCUCAGACUCAGGAUGCCCGAGAAGAAAAGGUGCAAGACAAAUUGACGAGACGACAUCCUAAGAUUAUUGGGGAAUGUACUAUGGAAGCAAGUUUCAACUCAAGAGUUCAACAUUUAAACCAAAGAGAGGAUGACGGGGUAGCUGAUGGAGUCAGUAACAAUCCUUGAGAUUUCCAAAAAGGUGGAUUUCCACAAUUAUGUGAACAAGAAGAUAGCAUUUGUCAAAUCAAAUGGUAUAAUGAUGUAUGCUCGAGGAAAACAUACACAAUUAAACAUUGGUUGAAAGGUGCACCCGAAAUAUGGGCUGGGUUGCACAGCCAACAUUGGAAUGGUGAUUCAAUAAUCAAUAGUCUAAGAAUGAACGGUCGACCAUUAACUUCAAAGCAAUAUGGAUGCUAGAAGGGCGGAAUCCAAAUAGCACCGCUCACUUGUUGGUACCCCGGUUGGAAUCAACACGAGGACCAUGAAAGAAUGGUGAUGGUGAGAAGUAGCACUACACCAAGAACUCUCAAGAGGUGGAACAAAUCUCAGAACAUUCUUGACAUAAAAGAUGGUAAUACUCCAAGAUAAAGAAGAACAAAGGCUGGAUAGCAAGGAACUCAAGGUAUAACACAAAACAUGAACAAGUUUGUGUUGGGGGAAGGCAAGAAUGUCGUCGAUGAUAACACAAUCAUCGAGGGGCAAGGAUGGUAUUUCUCAUCACGAAUUCGAUUGAUAUCCUGUAAGAGCUCAGAAUGUAGAUGAUGAUUACGACACAUUUGUCGAGAGGUUUCAUGAAGAUGUAAUCGAAUAACGAUGACAUCAAGUCAAAGGAAUGAUGAAGCGAAAGUUACUAAAACCAAGGGUACGACACGAACUCGAAAUCAAGCUUGAUGUUCAAGGCGAAAUGAUAUGACAAGGAAGAUCGACGUAAGUCUAGCUCAUCGUCGAAAGUUGUGCUCCGGAAGAAGGACCAGGUAGCACAGUUAAAAUUUUGCAUGAUAAUGAUAUAGCUGAUAAGGCUAGGAAUGACUUGAAGGAUUAUUAAACUCAUAAGCAACAAGAAUUACUUAGAGUUAUUGAAUCGGAGUAUGGAAUCGAUUCACUUAUCGGUGUUCCCGAGUGUCUAAUAACUCGGAGCCCGUGGAAAAUUGGAAUCAGCGAGAAUGUAGUACUUGAUGAAGAACUCAUAAGAAGUAAUGCAGUUCCAAGAUAAUCUCGAGAUACCAGGGGGGUAAUACUCGAAGACGGAUCAAAGUAGAGGUUGGACUGGGGUAUUAAUCCGCAGAAGACAAAUGUUUAAACUUGCCCGAGAAAUGGGAACAAAGAAGAACAAUAUGGUCGAAACCAUAACUACAAGGGGUCCAAUUUAAUAACACCGAAAGAAUUACUCGAAUGAGUAAAUAUUUGGCAAGAAGCUUCCAUGAUAAGUUCCACAUCAGGUCCAUGGGCAUGAACUCAGAGAUCAAGGUCGACUCCCACUUCUCCAAUGCAUACCCUUUCAUUCACUUCUCGCUUUCGAUGAAGUUAUAGCGUUGAAAUUUUAUCUGGCAAAAUACCAGAAGAGUACGACUCGUGAAAACUUUCGAGUUCACACAUAUUAAGGAAGGCAUAGGUUCAACCCAUCAGGGCAUCUUAGAAUCAUAUACCAGAAUCUUUAGAAGUAAUUAACUCAAGCUCGAAGGCAGAGCAUGGUUGAGAAAGCAAACGAUACAAUUUACCAAAGGCAUUAUGUAUCAGAGAAAAGGCUCACAAGGUUAUUGAAUAUGAAGGGCGUUGUCAGAUAAAAUCCAACAAAGGAUCUGGUGGUCCACAAGGGAUCUGACGUGAGCAUCGGUACUCAACUAGAGGAAGUAGAUUAUAGAAACAACUGACUAACUCAAUUGUCAAAUGCAAAGGAAUUAUGAUUUCCAAAUCAAGGGAUUAGAAGCAAUGCUCUGAUUAGGGGUGGAUAAGUUGAAUAGCCUUAGGGUACAAUCAAAGACAAUUGGAUUGGUCGAGAACCAAUUCCAGUUAAAAGAAUGGCAGCUCAGCCGGAAAAGUAAUUUAUAAGGAUAAAUGAUGAUUGCGUGUAUUCGCAAACAUAUUGAGUCAACGGACUCAAAAUGAUAAUGACAAGGAAUGUCAAUAAGACUACGAGACUUAUGGGAUUAACCAUAAUGCAAGCAAGCAAGAAUUUCAAGAGCCAAGGCUCCAGAGGAUUUUCGGAAGAUCGAAUAGUAUUUUGAAGACUUUUGUGAAACACAUGAACAACUGGGGAUGAGCGGAUACUCGACAAGUGCGAGUAUUUAUUUGAAGGGGUAUUCAUGUGGCAAAGAACUGCUAGGCAGUAGGCACAAAGUAUUCUCGGAACAAUAGAGAAAACUUUAGGCUAUCUUGUAAUAACAAGAUCAAUGGGGGAUGAUCGUAUGAAUGGCAAGUGUAAGUAGUUUUCCAUACGGAUUUAUCGGUGGUCGGGAAUAGCAAAAGUGAUGGGCACAAAGUCUCAUGAGAAUCUCAAAGAGUAUCUCCGAAAUCUUCUGGUGCAGUCGGUGAUCAACUGGACUGAAGGGCCUCUCCGGGAGAAAGUAUUUUCGAGAACCUAAAGUUAGAUAUUAGUAGAAAUCAUUUAACCCCGAAUAGAAGAGCGUUCAGAAUCCCAGAGUAAAGGUCGAGGAGUAAAAGACCCUAAUACCACCCAAUGGCGACCUGGGCCCAUGGGCCGCACAGCCAUGUUAGUAAAAGUUUUGAAAAGUCUAGACUCGACUUCGACCAAGGAGUGUGGAAGGGGGAUUCCUACAGGCAGUCGGCUCUGAUACCAAAUUGUGACGCCCCCGAUUCAAUCGUACACUAAUCAUACACGCAAAUGUGUACGAUCAAGAUCAGGGACUCACGGGAAGAUAUCACAACACAACUCUAAAACAUAAAUAAGUCAUACAGGCAUCAUAAUACAAGCCAGGGGCCUCGAGGGCUCGAAUACAAGUGCUCGAUCAUAGACGAGUCAGCGGAAGCAACAAUAUCUGAGUACAGACAUAAGUUAAACAAGUUGCCAUAAGAUGGCUAGCACAAACUGGGAUACAGAUCGAAAGAGGCGCAGGCCUCCUGCCUGGGAUCCUCCUAACUACUCUUGGUCGUCGUCAGCGGCCUGCACGUAGUAGUAGGCACCUCCAGUGUAGUAGGAAUCAUCGUCGAUGGUGGCGUCUGGCUCCAGGGCUCCAGCAUCUGGUUGCGACAACCAGGUAGAAGGGAAAGGGGAAAAGAGGGAGAAAAGCAACCGUGAGUACUCAUCCAAAGUACUCGCAAGCAAGGAGCUACACUACAUAUGCAUGGGUAUAUGUGUAAAGGGCCAUAUCGGUGGACUGAACUGCAGAAUGCCAGAAUAAGAGGGGGAUAGCUAAUCCUGUCAAAGACUACGCUUCUGGCAGCCUUCGUCUUGCAGCAUGUAGAAGAGAGUAGAUUGAAGUCCUCCAAGUAGCAUCUCCAAGUAGCAUCUCCAAGUAGCAUCUCCAGUAGCAUCGCAUGGCAUAAUCCUACCCAGCGAUGCUCCCCUCGUCGCCCUGUGGAAAAGCGAUCACCGGGUUGUUUGUGGAACUUGGAAGGGUGUGUUUUAUUAAGGAUCCAAUUCUAGUUGUCAUAAGGUCAAGGUACAACUCCAAGUCGUCCUGUUACCGAAGAUCACGGCUAUUCGAAUAGAUUAACUUCCCUGCAGGGGUGCACCACAUAACCCAACACGCUUGAUCCCAUUUGGCCGGACACACUUUCCUGGGUCAUGCCCGGCCUCAGAAGAUCAACACGUCGCAGCCCCACCUACGCACAACAGAGAGGUCAGCAUGCCGGUCUAAAUCCUAUGCGCGCAGGGGUCUUGGCCCAUCACCCAUUGCACACCUGCACGUUGCGUACGCGGCCGGUGAGCAGACCUAGCAACCUCCAUUACAAAGGAAGUUGCGUUAAUGCAGUCCAACCCCGCGCGCGCCGCUCAGUCGCUGACGUCAAGAAGGCUUCGGCUGAUACCACGACGCCGGGAUACCCAUAACUACUCCCGCGUAGAUGGUUAGUGCAUAUAGACCAAAUGGCCAGACUCAGAUCAAAUACCAAGAUCUCGUUAAGCGUGUUAAGUAUCCGUGAACGCCGAACAGGGCCAGGCCCACCUGUCUCCUAGGUGGUCUCAACCUGCCCUGUCGCUCCGCCACAAAGUAACAGUCAGGGGCCGUCGGGAACCCAGACCCACCUCUACUGGGAUGGAGCCACCUGUCCUUUCAGCCCCCUCAUCAGAAUCACUUGCGGGUACUCAUCGAGCUGACCCGACUUUAGUCACCAUCUGUAUAGUAUGUAUGUAUGUAUAGUAUAUACCCGUGAUCACCUCCCGAGUGAUCACAGCCCAAUAGUAUAGCAAGGCAGACUGACAAGAAUGUAGGGCCAAUGAUGAUAAACUAGCAUCCUAUACUAAGUAUUUAGGAUUGCGGGUAAGGUAUCAAUGACUAUAGCAACAAUGACAUGCUAUGCAACAGAAUAGGAGUAACCGAACAGUAACAUGCUACACUACUCUAAUGCAAGCAGUAUAGAGAAGAAUAGGCGAUAUCUGGUGAUCAAAGGGGGGGCUUGCCUGGUUGCUCUGGCAAGAGAGAGGGGUCGUCAACUCCGUAGUCGAACUGGGGCAUCAGCAUCGUCACGGGUUCUACCGAAGAGAAGAGGGGGGAGAAACAGUAAAUACAUAGCAAGCAAGUGCAUAACAGGAUAACAGGUAGAGCUAGACGUGUUCUAACGCGGUAUGAGGUGAUACCGGUGAAGGGGGAAACAUCCGGGAAAAUAUCCCCGGUGUUUCGUGUUUUCGGACAGAUGAACCAGAGGGGGAAAGUUGCGAGUUUGAUAUGUUAGGGGUGCGUGGAGGAUGAACGGGCUGCGUAUCCGGGUUUGUCUCGUCGUUCUGAGCAACUUUCAUGUAGAAAGUAUUUUCAUCUGAGCUACGGUUUAUUUUAUAUGAUUUUCUAAAGUUUUAAUCAUUUUUAGAAUUUAUUUAACUAUUUAAUUCUAACAUUAUCCAGAAUAGUGCAUGCUGACGUCAUCAUGACGUCAGCAUGAUGUCAGCAGUCAACAGGGAGUUGACUGGGUCAAUCUGACGUGUGGGUCCCGCAUGUCAUACUCUAUUUACUCUAAUUAGGAUUUAACUAAUCUAAUCACAGUUUAAAUAACUCACAAUAGUUAAUUAGGUUAACUAAACAAGAUUAAUUAAGUUAAUUAAUUCACUAAUUAAUUGAUUAUUUAUUUAUUAAUUUUAUUAUUUCAUUUUUAUUUUAUUUCCUUUUUCUUUUCUUCUUUUUUUAAACGUUCUGGGGCCGGGCCCCACAUGUCUGUGGCCCAUAGGGGCCUAGAGGGCGUGGGCGUCGGGGCACAGCCCGAACAGGGGCGCACCCGACCGGGCGUUGCGGGGCGGCGGUGUGGGGGUGAGGCCAUCGGGCGCGACCGAGGCGGUCGGCACGCGUGCGGGCGCCGGGAAUCGGCAGCGAGGGGCGGCGUCCAGGAGAAGGCCGUGACGCAGUGGGGGCCGCAUCAGGAGGCGAUGGUGGCGCGGCCACGGGUCACGANNNNNNNNNNNNNNNNNNNNNNNNNNNNNNNNNNNNNNNNNNNNNNNNNNNNNNNNNNNNNNNNNNNNNNNNNNNNNNNNNNNNNNNNNNNNNNNNNNNNNNNNNNNNNNNNNNNNNNNNNNNNNNNNNNNNNNNNNNNNNNNNNNNNNNNNNNNNNNNNNNNNNNNNNNNNNNNNNNNNNNNNNNNNNNNNNNNNNNNNNNNNNNNNNNNNNNNNNNNNNNNNNNNNNNNNNNNNNNNNNNNNNNNNNNNNNNNNNNNNNNNNNNNNNNNNNNNNNNNNNNNNNNNNNNNNNNNNNNNNNNNNNNNNNNNNNNNNNNNNNNNNNNNNNNNNNNNNNNNNNNNNNNNNNNNNNNNNNNNNNNNNNNNNNNNNNNNNNNNNNNNNNNNNNNNNNNNNNNNNNNNNNNNNNNNNNNNNNNNNNNNNNNNNNNNNNNNNNNNNNNNGAGCAGGGCGGUCGAGCGCCGUGGGCCAGCGAGGCCGUGCACGGGAGCGACGGGGAGAGGCACGCGGUGAGCGCGCAACGGGCGGGGCCGGAGCGCGUCGACCGCGGGCGGGGAUGGUGGUGACCGGGGCGACACAGGAAGGGGGGGCGACGGGGCGCGUUGGCGUCGGCGAGGGAGAGCCGAUGGAGCGGCGACGACAAGGUGGCGGAGCACAGCAGCGACGAGGCGGCGCCGGGGAUGGGCGCCGGCGUCGCAGGCUCAGGGCGGCGCGGGAUCUGGCCCCUCCCCGAUCCAGUCGAGUAGGGGGCGCCUGGGAGGAGGUAGGGGGCGGUGGUGCGGCGGUCCGGCGAGGUGGCCCCAGGCGGUGGCGACGGGCAGCGCCGCGGGUCGAACGACGGCGGCGGGCUCAGGUGCCUCGACCCAGAUGGGAUCGGGAGAAAGUGAGGGAGAGUGGGGAACGAGGAGGAGUGGGGUACUGGGUGUCGGUUAGGGUUUGGGCAGGGGUGUAUAGGGAGCGGGGGUGGGCUGGCCGGUUGGCCGAAUGGGCCAGCCUGUUGGGUCGGCUGGCCCGGGGGUCCUUUUCCCUUUUUUUGUUUGUUUUCUCUUUUGUAGUUUCUUUCUUUUAUUUAUUUUCUUUUCUGUUUUUAAAUCAUUUUAAAUUCCUUAGGCAUUUUAUAAAAAUGGGUUUGUUGCACCAUAAUUACCUUUGUAAUAUUUAGUACAAACCAAACAUUUGUAUUUUAAUGUUUGAAAACUUUUAUUGUUUGACUUAAAUUCAAAUUUGAAUUUGGAUCGGUUCUAAACUAACGCGAGAAUAUCAACAAUAAUCGAGGUGACGUGGCAUCAUUACUAGAGGGUUACUGUAGCUUGAUUGCCCGGGCGUCACACGUUGCAUGGCAAUCCCUACUCACUCACAUUGAUAUCUAUUAAUGGGCAUCUCCAUAGCCCGUUGAUACGCCUAGUUGAUGUGAGACUAUCUUGUCCUUUUUGUCUUCUCCACAACCACCAUUCUAUUCCACAUAUAGUGCUAUGUCCAUGGCUCACGCUCAUGUAUUGCGUGAAAGUUGAAAAAAGAUUGAGAAUACUAAAGUAUGAAACAAUUGCUUGGCUUGUGAUCGGGGUUAUGCAUGAUUAAAUACUUUGUGUGAUGAAGAUAGAGCAUAGCUAGACUAUAUGAUUUUGCAGGGAUAGCUUUCUUUAGCCAUAUUAUUUUGAGAAGACAUGAUUGCUUUGUUAGUAUGCUUGAACUAUUAUUGUUUUCAUGUCAAUAUGAACUUUUGUUUUGAAUCAUUUGGAUCUGAACAUUCAUGCCACAACAAAGAAAGUUACAUUAAGAAAUAUGCUAGGUAGCAUUCCACAUCAAAAAUUCUGUUUUUAUCAUUUACCUACUCGAGGACGAGCAGGAAUUAAGCUUGGCGAUGCUUGAUACGUCUCCAACGUAUCUAUAAUUUUUUAUUGUUCCAUGCUAUUAUAUUACCUAUUUUGGAUGUUUAUGGGCUUUAUUACACACUUUUAUAUUAGUUUUGGGAAUAACUAACCUAUUAACCGGAGGCCAGCCCAUAUUGUUGUUUUCUUGCCUAUUUCAGCGUUUCAAAGAAAAGGAAUAUCAAACGGAGUCCAAACGGAAUGAAACAUUCGGGAAAGUUAUUGUUGGAACGGAAGCAAUCCAAGGGACUUGGAGUGCACGGGAAGCUUCAAGGUGGCCACGAGGCAGGGAGGCGCGCCCCCACCCUCGUGGGCCCCUCGUGGCUCCCCUGGCCGACUUCUUUCGCCUAUAUAAGUACAUAUACCCUAAAACCUUCGGGGAACAGAAUAGAUCGGGAGUUCCGCCGCCGCAAGCCUCUGUAGCCACCAAAAACCUCUCGGGAGCCCGUUCUGGCACCCUUCUGGAGGGGGGAUCCCUCACCGGUGGCCAUCUUCAUCAUCCCGGUGUUCUCCAUGACAAGGAGGGAGUAGUUCACGCUCAGGGCUGAGGGUAUGUACCAGUAGCUAUGUGUUUGAUCUCUCUCGCUCUCGUGUUCUUGAGGUGAUACGAUCUUGAUGUAUCGCGAGCUUUGCUAUUAUAGUUGGAUCUUAUGAUGUUUCUCCCCCUCUACUCUCUUGUGAUGAAUUGAGUUUUCCAGUUGAAGUUAUCUUGUCAGAUUGAGUCUUUAAGGAUUUGAGAACACUUGACGUAUGUCUUGCCGUGCUUAUCUGUUUUGACAAUGGGAUAUUCACGUGAUCUACUUGAUUUAUGUUUUGGUGAUCAACUUGCGGGUUCAAUGAAUCUAUGCAUAGGGGUGGCACACGUUUUUGUCUUGACUCUCCGAUAGAAACUUUGGGGCACUCUUUGAAGUACUUUGUGUUGGUUGAAUAGAUGAAUCUGAGAUUGUGUGAUGCAUAUCGUAUAAUCAUGCCCCCGGAUACUUGAGGUGAAAAUGGAGUAUCUAGGUGACAUUAGGGUUUUGGUUGAUUUGUGUCUUAAGGUGUUAUUCUAGUACGAACUCUAUGAUAGAUCGAACGGAAAGAUUAGCUUUAUGUUAUUUUACUACGGACUCUUGAAUAGAUAGAACAAAAAGGAUAGCUUUGAGGUGGUUUCAUACCCUACCAUAAUCUCUUCGUUUGUUCUCCGCUAUUAGUGGCUUUGGAGUGACUCUUUGUUGCAUGUUGAGGGAUAGUUAUAUGAUCCAGUUAUGUUACUAUUGUUGAGAGAACUUGCACUAGUGAAAGUAUGAACCUUAGGCUUUGUUUCCUAGCAUUGCAAUACCGUUUACGCUCACUUUUAUCAUUAGUUACCUUGCUGUUUUUAUAAUUUCAGAUUACAAAAACCUAUAUCUAUCAUCCAUAUUGUACUUGUAUCACCAUCUCUUCGCCGAACUAGUGCACCUAUACAAUUUGCCAUUGUAUUGGGUGCGUUGGGGACACAAGAGACUCUUUGUUAUUUGGUUGCAGGGUUGUUUGAGAGAGACCAUCUUCAUCCUACGCCUCCCAUGGAUUGAUAAACCUUAGGUCAUCCACUUGGGGGAAAUUUGCUACUCUCCUACAAACCUCUGCACUUGGAGGCCCAACAACGUCUAUAAGAAGAAGGUUGCGUAGUAGACAUCAAUGAAGUUUGUGGAUUAUUUAAGCUUGCAGGUAUGCCCAAGGAUGUUUUCAAGAAGGAGGUCUUCCCUUUAUCUUUGAAGGUAAAGGCAUUGAUAUGGUAUAGGCUAUGUGAUGAUAUUGGGUAAGGGAACUACAACCAAUUGAAAUUAGAAUUUCAUCAGAAGUUUUAUCCUAUGCAUCUGGUUCAUCGUGAUCGUAAUUAUAUAUAUAAUUUUUGGGCUCAUUAAGGAGAAAGUAUCACUCAAGCUUGGUGGAGGCUUAAGUCAAUGUUAUAUUCAUGCACCAAUCAUGAGCUCCCAAGAGAAAUUAUUAUUCAAAAAAUUUAUGCUCGGCUUUCUCACAAUGAUCGCUCCAUGCUCGAUACUUCUUGUACUGGUUCUUUUAUGAUGAAGGCUAUUGAAUUGAAAUGGGAUUUACUAGAAAGAAUUAAACGCAACUCCAAAGAUUGGGAACUCUCCGAAGGUAAGGAGUCAGGUAUAAACCUUAAGUUUGAUUGUGUUAAAUCUUUUAUGGAUACCGAUGCUUUUCAUGAAUUUAGCACUAAAUAUGGACUUGACUCUGAGAUAGUAGCUUCUUUUUGUGAAUCAUUUUCUACUCAUGUUGAUCUCCCUAAGGAGAAGUGGUUUAAAUAUCAUCCUACCAUUGAAGUGAAAGUAGUAGAACCUAUUAAAGUUGAAGAAGAAACUAUUACUUAUAAUGUUGAUCCUAUUGUUCCUACUUCUUAUAUUAAGAAACCACCUUUCCCUGUUAGAAUAAAGGAUCAUGCUAAAGCUUCAACUAUGGUUUGUAAGAGUUAUACUAGAACAGCUACACCCCCUGAACAAAUUAAAGUUGAACCUAGUAUUUCUAUGGUUAAAGAUCUCUUGGUCGAUAAUAUUUAUGGGCAUGUUAUUUAUUUCUGUGAUGAAGCUGCUAGAAUUGCUAAACCCGAUACCAAAGUUAAACAUAGGCCUGUUGUUUCUGUUAAAAUAGGAGAUCAUUGUUAUCAUGGCUUAUGUGAUAUGGGUGCUAGUGUGAGUGCAAUACCUUAUACCUUAUAUAAAGAAACUAUGAAUGAAAUUGCACCUGCUGAGAUAGAAGAUAUUGCUGUUACUAUUAAGCUUGCCAAUAGAGAUACUAUUUCACCAGUUGGGAUUGGUAGAGAUGUUGAAGUCUUGUGUGGGAAAUUAAAAUACCCUACUGAUUUUCUUGUUCUUGGUUCCCCACAAGAUGACUUUUGUCCCAUUAUAUUUGGUAGACCCUUCUUGAAUACUGUUAAUGCUAAGAUAGACUGUGAAAAGGAUAUUGUUACUAUUGGUUUAGGGAAUAUGUCUCAUGAUUUUAAUUUCUCUAAAUUUCAUAGACAACCCCAUGAUAAAGAAUUGCCUAGUAAGGAUGAAAUUACUGGUCUUGCCUCUAUUGUCGUGCCUCCUAAUGAUCCUUUAGAACAAUAUUUGCUAAACCAUGAAAAUGAUAUGUUUAUGAAUGAAAGAAGAGAAAUAGAUGAAGUAUCCUUUAAGCAAGGACCUAUUUUGAAACACAUUGAAAUCCUUGGAGAUCCUCCUCCACCCAAGGGUGAUCCCGUGUCUGAGCUUAAACAAUUACCUGAUACUCUUAAAUAUGCUUAUCUUGAUGAAAAUAAGAUAUAUCAUGCUAUUAUUAGUGCUAACCUUCUAGACCAUGACAAAAAUAAAUUAUUGAAAACUCUAAAGAAGCAGUGUGCCGCUAUUGGAUACACUCUUGAUGAUCUUAAAGGCAUUAGCCCCACUCUAUGCCAGCACAAAAUUAAACUAGAGAAAGAUGCUAAACCAGUUGUUGAUCAUCAACGAUGGUUAAAUCCUAAGAUGAAAGAAGUGGUAAGAAAUGAAAUACUAAAGCUGCUGGAGGCAGGUAUAAUUUAUCCUAUUACUGAUAGUCAGUGGGUAAGUCCCGUUCAUUGUGUACCUAAGAAGGGAGGUAUUACUGUUGUCCCUAAUGAUAAGAAUGAAUUGAUCCCACAAAGAAUUGUUACAGGGUAUAGAAUGGUAAUUGAUUUCCGCAAAUUAAAUAAAGCUACUAGAAAAGAUCAUUACCCUCUACCUUAUAUUGAUCAAAUGCUAGAAAUACUAUCCAAACAUACACAUUUUUGCUUUCUAGAUGGUUACUCUGGCUUCUCUCAAGUACCUGUGUCAAAAGAGGAUUAGGAAAAUACCACUUUUACUUUCCCUUUCGGUACUUUUUCUUAUAGGUGUAUGCCUUUUGGUUUACGCAAUGCACCUGCUACCUUUCAAAGACGUAUGACUGCUAUAUUCUUUGACUUUUGUGAAAAUAUUGUUGGGGUUUUCAUGGAUGAGUUCUCCGUUUACGCAACUUCUUUUGAUGAUUGCUUAAGUAACCUUGAUUGAGUUUUGCAGAGAUGCGAAGAAACUAAUCUUGUCUUGAAUUGGGAGAAGUGCCACUUUAUGCUUAAUGAAGGUAUUGUCUUGGGGUAUAAAAUUUCUGAAAGAGGCAUUGAAGUUGAUAAAGCUAAAGUUGAUGCUAUUGAAAAGAUGUCGUGUCCUAAAGAUAUCAAAGGUAUAAGAAGUUUCCUUGGUCAUGAUGGUUUCUAUAGGAGGUUUAUUAAAGACUUCUCUAAAAUUUCUAGGCCUCUCACUAAUCUCUUGCAAAAAGAUGUUCCUUUUGUUUUUGAUGAUGAUUGUGUAGAAGCAUUUGAAAUACUUAAGAAAGCUUUGAUUUCUGCACUUAUUUUUCUGCCACCUGAUUGGAAUUUACCCUUUGAAAUUAUGUGUGAUGCUAGCGAUUAUGCUAUUGGUAUUCUUCUAGGGGAAAGAGUUGAUAAGAAAUUGAAUGUUAUCCAUUAUGCUAGUAAAACUCUAGACAGUGCCUAGAGAAAUUAUGCUACAAUUGAAAAAUAAUUUUUAGCAGUUGUAUUUGCUUGUGAUAAGUUCAGAUAUUAUAUUGUUGAUUCCAAAGUAACUGUUCACACUGAUCAUGCUGCUAUUAAAUAUCUUAUGGAAAAGAAGGAUGCUAAACCUAGACUUAUUAGGUGGGUUCUCUUGUUACAAGAAUUUGAUCUGCAUAUUAUUGAUAGAAAGGGAGCUGAGAACCCCGUUGCAGACAACUUGUCUAGGUUAGAAAAUGUUCUUGAUGACCCACUGCCUAUUGAUGAUAGCUUUGCUGAUGAACAAUUAGUUGUCAUAAAUGCUUCUCGUACUGCUCCAUGGUAUGUUGUUUAUGCUAAUUACAUUGUUGCUAAAUUUACACCACCUAGUUUCACAUACCAGCAAAAGAAAAAGGUUUUCUAUGAUUUAAGAUAUUACUUUUGUGAUGACCCACACCUUUAUAAAGAAGGAGUAGAUGGUGUUAUUAGACGUUGUGUACCUGAGCAUGAACAGGAACAAAUCCUACGCAAGUGUCAUUCCGAGGCUUACGGAGGACACCACGUUGGAGACAGAACUGCACAUAAGGUAUUGCAAUCCAGUUUUUAUUGGCCUACUCUCUUCAAGGAUGUUCGUAAUUUUGUCUUGUCUUGUGAUGAAUGCCAAAGAAUCGGUAAUAUUAGUAGACGUCAGGAAAUGCCUAUGAACUAUUCACUUGUUAUUGAACCAUUUGAUGUUUGGGGCUUUGAUUAUAUGGGACCUUUUCCUUCCUCUAAUGGGUAUACACAUAUUUUAGUUGUUAUUGAUUACGUUACUAAGUGGGUAGAAGCUAUUCCAACUAGUAGUGUUGAUCAUAACACUUCUAUUAAGAUGCUUAAAGAAGUUAUUUUUCCGUGGUUCGGAGUCCCUAGAUAUUUAUUGACUGAUGGUGGUUCACAUUUUAUUCAUGGUGCUUUUCGUAAAAUGCUUGCUAAGUAUGAUGUUAAUCAUAGAAUUGCAUAUCCAUAUCAUCCUCAGUCUAGUGGUCAAGUAGAAUUGAGUAAUAGAGAGAUUAAAUUGAUUUUGCAAAAGGCUGUUAAUUGAUCUAGAAAGAAUUGGUCCAAGAAACUUGAUGAUGCAUUAUGGGCUUAUAGAACUGCUUAUAAAAAUCCUAUGGGUAUAUCUUCGUAUAAAAUGGCUUAUGGAAAGGCGUGUCACUUACCUCUCGAACUAGAACAUAAGGCAUAUUGGGCUAUUAAAGAGCUCAAUUAUGAUUUCAAACUUGCCUAUGAGAAGAGGUUAUUUGACAUUAGCUCGCUUGAUGAAUGGAGAACCCAAGCCUAUGAGAAUGCCAAGUUGUUUAAAGAAAAGUUUAAAAGAUGGCAUGACAAAGGAUACAAAAGCGUGAGUUUGAUGUAGGUGAUCAUGUUUGCUAUACAACUCUCGUUUAAGAUUUUUUGCAGGAAAACUUCUCUCUAAAUGGGAAGGUCCUUACAUUAUCGAGGAGGUCUAUCAUUCUGGUGCCAUCAAAAUCAACAACGCCGAAGGUAAAAAUCCGAAGGUGGUAAACAAUCAAAGAAUCAAACAUUAUAUCUCAGGUACUCCCAUAAAUGUUGGAACAAAUAUUUUUAACACCAUAACACCACAAGAGUAUAUAAGGGACACUUUCCAGAAUGUUUCAGACUCCAAAAAGGAAUAGGUAUGAGGUACGGUAAGUAAAACGACUCCAAAACUGUUCUAGUAGCAAUUUCUCUCGGUUUUGGAAUAUUUUAAAAAAAGGAAAAUUAAAAGUAGUCCGAAAGAGACACGAGGCAGCCACGAGGGUGGAGGGCGCGCCCUACCCCCCGGGCGCACCCCCCUACCUCGUGGCCACCUCGUGUGCCCUCCAGACUCUGUUUUUUUGCACAAUACUUCUUUUGGUCUGUAAAAAAUCAUUAUAUAAUCUCCUGAAGGUUUUGACCACCAUACCACGGCAAAAUCCUCUGUUUUUGUUUCGAGCUGUUUUUCUGAUAGAUCUAGAUCACCAUGACGUCUCCAAGCGCCCCUAAGGACAAGUUUUUCGAGAAGGUCAUCAACCCUUACCUCGCGGAGGUGCUACAACACCCUCAAACCAUUGAGAUCCGUGAGGGGGUGCUGCACAUCCGCGAUGUUGAGGGACCGAAGAAGACCAGAAGCAUGGAGACAAGACUUGAAGCAAUGGAGCAACAAGUUUUCAAGUGCCAAGGGAUGGUGGAACGUGGACUCAACGCCAAUCACAUGAUGAUCGCGGAGUUCACCAACAAUCACAAGAUGGAUACCAAGAACAUUGGGGAGGCCAUCUUCAAGCUUCACAAGAAAAUUGAGCACCUCCUGGCCCAGAUCUAUGACCUGCAAAACCAAAACUGUGAGUAUGAAUAUAGAUUCAAGAGGAUGAGUUUGGUUGCAGAUUUGAGGAUCCCUAAGACUCGCUCAUCCUUCUACGAUGGUGAGCCUGUGCCUUGGAAGAUGGACGUCAAGCCUACAUCAUCAACAACUCCAUCAUCACCACCUCAGAAGAAAGAGAUAUAAAUACAUGGGUAUGGGUACUCCCCUUGGAAACUGCCAAGCUUGGGGGAGGUGCCCCGGUAUCGUAUCACCAUCACACCUCCACCUUUAUUGUUUUUCUUAGUUUGAUCCUUUUGGUUAUAUCUUAAUCUAGUAGAAUAAAGUUUUAGUAUAAUUUAGCUUUGAGUUUUGUUUUGAUCUCUAUCUAUGUAAUCGUGUCUGUGAGUUAUAUAUAAUAAAGAGUAGUUUUGAGUUGAGGGCUUUGCUAUCUUGCUAUGAUCUUGAGGGAAUUAAAGAAAGAAUAGAAAGAAAUAAGAGAUCAUAUGUUGAUUUUAUGGAAAGUAAUGACUUCACAUAUAAAGAGUACGAUGAAUAAAAGUUGUUGAGAGUUGAUAAACAUAGUUUUGGUCACUGUUGCAAUUAAUAGGAAGUAAUUAAGAAAGAGAGUUUUUCACAUAUAAAUAUACUAUCUUGGACAUCUUUCGUGAUUGUGAGCACUCAUUAAAAUAUGACAUGCUAAAAAUUCGAUGUUGGACAAGGAAGACAACGUAAUGGGUUAUGUUUUCUUAUAUCCGAAGAAGUUAUAUUGUCAUGGAUCAUCCAACAUGUUGAGCUUGCCUUUCCCCCUCAUGCUAGCCAAAUUCUUUGCACCAAGUAGAGAUACUACUUGUGCUUCCAAACAUCCCUAAACCCAGUUUUGCCAUGAGAGUCCACCAUACCUACCUAUGGAUUGAGUAAGAUCCUUCAAGUAAGUUGUCAUCGGUGCAAGCAAUAAAAAUUGCUCUCUAAAUAUGUAUGAUCUAUUAGUGUGAAGAAAAUAAGCUUUAUACGAACUUGUGAUAUGGAAGAAAUAAAAGCGACGGACUGCAUGAUAAACGUCCUUAUCACAAGCGGCAAUAUAAAGUGACGUUCUUUUGCAUUAAGAUUUUGUGCAUCCAACCAUAAAAGCGCAUGACAACCUCUGCUUCCCUCUAUGAAGGGCCUAUCUUUUAUUUUUACCUUCUACCCUUAUACAAGAGUCAUGGUGAUCUUCACCUUUCCUUUUUACACUUAUCCUUUGGCAAGCACUAUGUGUUGGAGAGAUCCGGAUAUAUAUAUCCACUCGGAUGUAGGUUUUCAUAAAGUAUUAUUGUUGACAUUACCCUUGAGGUAAAAGGUUGGGAGGCGAAGCUAUAAGCCCCUAUCUUUCUCUCUGUCCGAUUGAAACUUUGUACCCAUAAGUAUCGCGUGAGUGUUAGCAAUUGUGAAAGACUAAAUGAUAGUUGAGUAUGUGGACUUGCUGAAAAGCUCUUAUAUUGACUCUUUUCGAUGUUAUGAUAAAUUGCAAUCGCUACAAUGACUGAGAUCGUAGUUUUUUAGUUUUCAAUGCAGUUUUUGGUUCAUACUUUACGUUGUAGAUAUAUUGUUACUUUAGCAUAAGAAAUCAUAUGACAAUAUAUAUUGCUGUUCUGAAGAUGAUCAUGGCUCCCUCAUGUCCGUAUUUUAUUUUAUCGACACCUCUAUCUCUAAAUAUGUGGACAUAUUUUUUGAUAUCGGCUUUCGCUGGAGGACAAGCAAGGUCUAAGCUUGGGGGAGUUUAUACGUCCAUUUUGCACCAUGCUUUUAUAUCAAUAUUUAUUGCAUUAUGGGCUAUUAUUACACGUUAUAUCACAAUACUUAUGCAUUUUCUCUCUUAUUUUAUAAGGUUUACAUGAAUAGGGAGAAUGCUGGCAGAUGGAAUUCUGGACUAGAAAAGGAUACUUGAGGUGACAUUGGAGUAUCUAGGUGACAUUAGGGUUUUGGUUGAUUUGUGUCUUAAGGUGUUACUUUACUACGAACUCUAGGGCUGUUUGUGACACUUAUAGGAAUAGCCCAGUGGAUUGAUCGGAAAGAAUAACUUUGAGCUGGUUUCGUACCCUACAAUGAUCUCUUCGUUUGUUCUCUGCUAUUAGUGACUUUGGAGUGACUCUUUGUUGCAUGUUGAGGGAUUGUUAUAUGAUCUAAUUAUGUUAUUAUUGUUGAGAGAACUUGCACUAGUGAAAGUAUGAACCCUAGGCCUUGUUUUGAAGCAUUGCAAUACCGUUUUCGCUCACUUUUACCACUUUCUACCUUGCUGUUUUUAUAAUUUCAUAUUACAAAAAUAUAUAUCUACCAUCCAUAUUGCACUUGUAUCACCAUAUCUUCGUCGAACUAGUGCACCUAUACAAUUUACCAUUGUAUUGGGUGUGUUGGGGACACAAGAGACUCUUUGUUAUUUGGUUGCAGGGUUGUUUGAGAGAGACCAUCUUCAUCCUAUGCCUCCCACAGAUUGAUAAACCUUAGGUCAUCCACUUGAGGGAAAUUUGCUAUUGUCCUACAAACCUCUGCACUUGGAGGCCCAACAACGUCUACAAGAAGGUUGCGUAGUAGACAUCUGCUCAAGACAAAAACUUUUGACAAGUUGCGGAAAUGCGGCAGGCGCUGACUUGAUUAGCUGCCGAUGGUUCUUUGGUCAAUCAGGAUGACACCAAAUCAAGCUACUGGUGAGACUCCCUUCUCCCUAGUAUAUGGUGCAAAAGCAUUACUCCCCAUAGAACUCGCAUACAGGUCGCCUCAAGUACUUGCCUAUGAUUAAGUAGUGCAAGAGCAGCUGCGGCAUGACGAUGCCGCGCUCCUUGAGGAGGAUCGUCUCCGGGCAACUGUACGUGAUGCACAAUACCAGCAAGCCUUGCGCCGCUAUCACAGCCGCCAGGUUCACACCCGGAGCUUUGAGGAGGGCGACCUUGUCCUUAGGCGCGUUGAUGUAGGGGGGAACCCUAUGGGGCCGAUCUUUCACGUUUGGAGAGGAUCCUAUGGGGAACACGAAGAACGCGCGGAAGAACACGAGGGAGAACACGAGGGGAAAACAAGAGAAACACUCAAGCGACAUGAAAUUGAUCACACAAGUGCUAGAUCAUCGAGGGCACAAAGUAACACGAGAUCCAGAGUCAACAAGGGACGAUACAAGAGUAACCGUUCUUCUCCGUGAGGAGGUCUUGAUUGUCUUCUCCGGAUGGAGUCCUUGAAUCCGGAUGGAUCUUCUCCGAAGAGGUGCGGUCCCUCACGAGGAGUAGAUCUAGUACGGAUGAGAAAUGCUCUAUCUCAAAUGAGCUAAACCAAUGCUAACACUAAAACGUAGGAGGAGAUGGAGUAUAUAUAGUCUAGGGGCGAAGGGGGUACAUGGGCCUCGGCCCUUACACUAUUCGCAGACAGGGAAGGCCGGAUGUCCGGGCGUCGGGCCGGAUGUCCGGUGGUUCGCGAGGGGCCGGAUGUCCGGGCUGAAGGGCUGGAUGUCUGGGCUGGUGGAGACGGCCGUGCUACUCUCUGGAUGGGCGAUGCCGGAUGUCCGGGCAGAGGGGCCGGAUUUCCGGGCCUUUGGGAGGCGUCGGAUGUCCUAGGUGAUGACCGGAUGUCUGGGCUGUCUGGGCCACCUUUUGUGCUCCCUGGAUGGUGCCUCUGGAUGUCCGGGCUGGAGGCCGGAUUUCCGGUGAGGAGGGCCGGAUGUCCGGGCCCUGUAUCUUUUGCUGCAGAUGCCUUGCGGUGGUGCAGAUCUCCAGGGGUCGGAUGUCCGGGACCUUGGCCGGAUGUCCGGUGCCUAGAGGUUGUUCUCGCUUUCUUCUGUUGGUUCUCUUCUUUCGUGGACUUGGGGUCUUGACCAUCUUCAUGGGCAUCCUUGGGGGGGGGGGUCCUCUUGGUACCUAAUCAUGCACAACAUUCCGGACUUAGGUAGUAACCAUGUCUCAACAGGAUCAUAUGAGAUAUCACUAAGGAGAGAAGUCACCUCGGUCUCGAGAGCUCUAGCUCGUGCUCUAGUCAUGGGUCCUCUUGGUGCUUGGUGAGACGAUGGAAGGUCCAUGGGGAUGACCGAAGGAUGCUCCGCAUCAUCUCCCCCCCCCCUUGGGGAAGAUCCGGCCUCGGAUCGAAAUCCUCAUCACCAUGGUACUGGGAGAGAUCGGUGACGUUGAAGAUGUCGCUCAUGUUGUUCUUGUCGCGUGGGAGAUAGAUCUUGUAAGCGUUGUUGUUGUAGCGUGCUAGCACCUUGAAAGGUCCAUCGGCUCGAGGUAGAAGUUUGGACUUGCAUUCAUUGGGGAAGCGGUCCUUGCGAAGGUGUAGCCACACGAGAUCUCCAAUGUUGAAUAUCAUGGGUUGCUUGUUGACGUUGAGCUUGGUCGCGAGUCGUUGUACUUGGCGCUCGAUGGUGUGCCUUGUAUCUUCAUGCAUCUUCUUGAUGUAGCUCGCACGGGCACUUGCGUCUAGGUUGGUGCGCUCUUGUAGAGGAAGAGGUAGAAUGUCCAAUGGGGACAACGGGUUGAAGCCAUAGACGAACUCGAAGGGGGACUUGCCGGUAGUCGAAUUUCUUGCACGGUUGUAGGCGUACUCGGCAAUGGGUAUACACUCCUCCCACUCCUUGAUGUUCUUCUUGAUUAACACGCGAAGUAGAGUGGAGAGCGUACGGUUCGUCACCUCCGUUUGGCCGUCGGUUUGAGGAUGGUAUGCGGAUGAGAACAAGAGCUUGAUUCCGAGCUUGGCGCAUAGCGUCUUCCAAAAGUAACUGAAGAACUUGAUGUCGCGGUCAGAGACGAUUGUCUUUGGUACUCCAUGGAGUCGCAAGAUUUCCCUACAAAGGAGAUUUGCAACGUGUGAAGCAUCGUCUAUCUUGUUGCAAGGAAUGAAAUGUGCCAUCUUAGAAAAUCGGUCCACAACAACAAACACGGAAUCCUUGCCAUUUUGAGUUCUAGGAAAACCAAGUACAAAAUCCAUGCUAAUGUCUUCCCAAGGUUGAUAAGGAAUAGGAAGAGGCACGUAAAGACCAUGGGAUUGAGCUUUAGACUUAGCUUUGCGACAUGUAGAGCAUCGGUUGGUGAAGCGUGAGACAUCGCGGAACAUCUUGGGCCAAAAGUAGUUUUUGGAGAGUGUGGUGAAUGUCUUGUCACGUCCAAAAUGUCCCAUGAGUCCGCCUCCAUGAGCCUCUUGCAAAAGGAGCAAACGAAGAGAAGACUCGAGAAUGCAAAGUUUGUUAGCUCUCAUAAGAUAAUCAUCCUUUAUGUAAUAUUGUUCCCAAUAUGUAUGCAUCAAACACUUAGCAUAAGGAGUAGCAAAAGAUGGAUCAUUAGCAUACAAGUCUUUUAUGUGCUCAAAGCCAAUAGCAUUCAACUCAAGCUUAGUGACAAGCGUGCAUAUGCGUGAAAGUGCAUCCGCAACUACAUUUUCCUUACCCUUAAUGUACUUGAUUACAUAGAGGAAAGAUUCAAUAAAUUCACUCCAUUUGGCAUGACGCUUGUUCAACUUAGUUUGACCUUUUAAGUACUUAAGCGUUUCAUGAUCGGUAUGGAUGACAAACUCAUGAGGUCUAAGGUAAUGCUCCCAAACAUUUAGCACGCGCACUAAAGCAAACAAUUCUUUGUCAUAGGUGGGAUAGUUAAGUUGAGCACCGGAGAGUUUUUCACUAAAAUAAGCAAUGGCUCGUUUUUCUUGCAUUAAAACUCCUCCAAUUCCGGUACCACUUGCAUCACAAUGAACCUCAAAAGUUUUGUCAAAGUUGGGCAAAGCAAGAAUCGGAGCAUGAAUAAGCAAAGACUUGAGCUUAUCAAAAGCGGUGGAUUGCAAAGAUCCCCAAACAAAAGGAGCAUUCUUCUUACUCAAGGCAUGCAAAGGAGCGGCAAUAGUGCUAAAAUCCUUCACAAAGCGACGGUAAAAACCUGCAAGGCCAAGAAAACUACACACUUGUUGCAAAUUGGUGGGUUGGGGCCACGUUUUAAUUGCUUCAGUUUUAGAUUCAUCGACAUGGACACCCUUGGAAGAAACGACAAAACCCAAGAAAACAAGUUUGUCAACACCAAACGUGCACUUUUUCAUGUUGGCAUAAAGACAUUCCUUGCAAAGCAUUUGCAAAACAGCCCUAACAUGCUUUAGAUGCUCUUUCAUGGAUUUCUUAAACACAAUCAAAGUAAACCACAACAAACACUCCAAUAUAAGGACGAAGCACAAAAUGCAUAAGUCUCAUGAAAGUACCAGGAGCUUCCGAUAAACCCAUAGGCAUGACCAACCACUCGUACAAGCCAAAUUUGGUUUUGAAAGCGGUUUUUCACUCAUCACCUUCUUGUAUGUGGAUUUGAUAAUAGCCACUUUUAAGAUCAAUUUUUGAGAAAAAGGCGGCACUGCUAAGUUCAUCAAGCAUAUCAUCUAGGCGAGGAAUGGGAUGCCUAUAGCGAACGGUGAUAGAAUUAAUGGGUCUACAAUCAGAACACAUGCGAUAACUUCCGUCUUGCUUAGGGACAAGUAUAACCGGAAUGGCACAAGGGCUUAAGCUUUCACAUACAUGAACAUUGUCAAUUAGUUGUUGUACUUGCCGUUGGAUCUCCUUAGUUUCUUCGGGGUUGACGCGGUAUGGAGCUUUGUUUGGUAGGGGCGCUCCGGGGAUGAGGUUGAUUCGAUGCUCAAUGCCUCGUAGAGGAGGUAGACCCAGAGGUAGCUCAUCGGGGAAAACAUCUUGGAAUUCCUGCAAAAGAGAUUGAAACACUAAAGGUAGAUCGUGAAAGGUGUUAGUUUUUGGGUCCCCAUCCUUGCACACAAGGACAAAGUGCAUAACACGCGAUGGGUUCUCACAUAGUUCUCUCAUCUCACUUUUGGUGGCAAAUAGGACUAAGUUUUUCUCUCUAGGCGAAGAGGAGCUCAAGUUUGGCUUGUGGCUCUCACUCACUUUUUGGUGGAUCACUUUCUCACUCUUCUCUCCACGAUGGGUGGCUUGCUUGUCGGCUAUCACUUGACUAGGAGACAUAGGUCAUAGCACAUAUUCCUUCCCUUUCAUCUUGAAGCUAUAGUGAUUGGUACGCCCAUUGUGGAUGACCCCAUGGUCGAAUUGCCAAGGCCUACCAAGAAGGAGGUGGCAAACAGACAUCGGGACGACAUCACACUCCAAAGUGUCCUCAUAUGCACCAAUUUUGAAGGAGACUUGGAUCAUAUGCUCAACUCGUAUAGUGCCGGAGUCACUUAGCCAUUGGACUUUGUAUGGGUGCGGGUGCUUCAUCUUGACCAAUUGAAGCUUGGAGCAUAGUUCUUCACUUGCCAAGUUGUGACAACUACCUCCAUCGAUGAUGACCUUGACAGACCUUCCAUUGAUGCCGGCCUUUGUGUGGAAGAUGUGGCAUCUUUGGUCUUCUUCUUGUUGAUGUUGAAGAGUCAAAACUUUGGAGACAACGAGAGCGGGGCUCAAAUCGUCAUCACAAAAUACUUGAUCAUCUUCAUCCUCGUUCAUGCGCCGGUGCAUGGCCACUUUCUCAAGGGCUUCCAUCUCCUCGUCACUCAUGGAGUCAUAGGUUCCAUCAUUGUUGAGGAUCAUGGUGCACUUGUUUGUGCAUUCAUAGGACUUGUGGCCUCGGCCGCCGCAAGUGAAACACUUGAAGGAGCUUGUCUUGAUGGUCUCAUCGGUCGGAGUAGAGGAUGAAGCAUGCGGCUUGAAGUUGCUUGUAGUAGGAGGAAGACGACUUGCGCUUGUCAAAGUUUUCUUGUAACUUGACUUGUCGUCAUUGCUUGUAGAUGGCUUGGUUGAGGUAGAAGUUGGAGGAGUCGUUGAAGCUUGGUUGUUGGAGAAGCCGUAGGUCUUGUAUGAGUACUUGGCGUACUUGAAGUCAUCUUGCACUUGGCGUUCCGCCUUGGUAGCUUGAUGUCACGCCCAAUAUGCGAUACUAUCCUAAAGAGACUCGAAGGUCCCACCAAGGAUAGAACCGCAUAUUGAAACACUUUUGCAAGGUGGAUAUCAUUACAUCAACAUUACAUAAUAGCUAGGGAUACAUACAAAAGGCAUACAAAGCCACACGAAUACAACAUCAUCUUACAUAAGAGCACCGUCCAACUACGGAUGAAACACAAACAGAAACUCAAACGACAUCCACCCUGCUAGCCCAGGCUGCCGACCUGGAACCUAUCCCCUGAUCGAAGAAGACGCAGAAGAAGAACUCCGAAACAAGCAACAUUGCUCUCACGUCAGGAUCAUCGCAAAACCUGCACCUGCAACUGAUGUUGUAGUAAUCUGUGAGCCACGAGGACUCAGCAAUCCCAUUACCAUGGGUAUCAAGACUAGCAAAGCUUAAUGGGUAAGGAAAAGGUAAAGUGGUGAGGUUGCAGCAGCGACUAAGCAUGACAUGGUGGCUAACAUAUGCAAAUAAGAGCGAGAAGAGAAGCAAGCGGAACGGUCGUGAAGCUAGCAAUGAUCAAGAGGUGAUCCUGAACUCCUACUUACGUCAAACAUAACCCAAACAAUGUUCACUUCCCGGACUCCGCUGAAAAGAGACCAUCACGGCUACACACGUGGUUGAUGCGUUUUAAUUCGGAUCUGGUGUCAAGUUAUCUACAACCGGACAUUAACAAAUUCCCAUCUGCCACAUAACCAUGGGCACGGCUUUCGAAAGAUAAUACCCUGCAGGGGUGUCCCAACUUAGCCCAUGAUAAGCUCUCGCGAUCAACGAAGGAUAUACCUUCUCCCAGGAAGACCCGAUCAGUCUCGGAAUCCCGGUUUACAAGACAUUUCGGCAAUGGUAAAACAAGACCAGCAAAACCACCCAAUGUGCCGACAAAUCCCGAUAGGAGCUGCACAUAUCUUGUUCUCAGGGCACACCAGAUGAGCAAGACGUCGGGUUGGCAUAGACCCUGGUUGCCCAGGGGGCGCCGGACAUCGCUCAGGUUGGACCAACACUCGGAGGAGCACGGGCCCGGGGGGGUAAAAUAAAGAUGACCCUCGGGCUCUAGAAACCCAAGGGAAAAAGGGCUAGGUGAGGCAAAUGGUAAAACCAAGGUUGGGCCUUGCUGGAGGAGUUUUAUUCAAAGCGAACUGUCAAGGGGGUCCCAUAAAUCACCCAACCGCGUAAGGAACGCAAAAUCCGGGAACAUAACACCGGUAUGACGGAAACUAGGGCGGCAAGAGUGGAACAAAACACCAGGCAUAAGGCCGAGUCUUCCACCCUUUACCAAGUAUAUAGAUGCAUUAAUUAAAUAAGAGAUAUUGUGAUAUCCCAACAUAAUCCUGUCCACCAUGGAGCAAUCUUCAACUUCACCUGCAACUAACAACGUUAUAAGAGGGGCUGAGCAAAGCGGUAACAUAGCCAAGCAACGGUUUGCUAGGAAGGGUAAAAAGGUUAGAGGCUGACAUGGCAAUUUGGGAGGCUUGAAGAGCAAAUGAUAGGUAGCGCAGCAUAGCGAUAGAACGAAGCAACUAGCAUAGCAAUGAUAGUAAUGAGAUCCAAGGUGACGGUCAUCUUGCCUGAAAUCCCGCAAGAAAGAAUAACGAGUCCAUGAAGAAGAUGAAGCCACGAAGACGAACCAAGCGUAGACGAAUGAAUCCUCACGAUCGCAACGAAACGGGAACUAUCGAGAAGAAGCACACAACAUGGUAAACACACCACACAUGAACAAGGCAUGAUGCACAAACAAGCAUGAUGCAUGACAAGACUACAUGAAGCUACUCAUGGCAAGAGAUGAUGCAAACAAGAACAACACAUCAAGGCAAGUUUAAAUGAGGCCGGGAACAACAUAUAACAAUUCCGGUAAGUCCUCACAUGCAAAUUUCGAAAUUGGUCCAGAUCUGAAUAAACCUUAUAUUCAAGUUGUUAAACAGCAAGUUAAGAUGCACCAAGAUGACCUACACGAGAUUCUAGUCAAGUUACAUAUAAAAUUCAUUUAAUUCGGAGCUACGGUCUAGAAGAUAUGAGUAAAACAAGUUAAACAUGGCAUUGAUGCAAAAUGCAUACAACCAUCAAGCAAACACACCAAAACAAGGAUGCAACAUGAUAAUAUGAAACUACAUGCAAAAACAAGCAAGUUUCAUAUAGAGCACACUCAAAAAGGAGCAACGGUUCAACACACACACAUGAAACAACUUAUAAUAACAAUCUGACCAAAACAGCGACUAGGCAUAUUGCAAGCAUCAAAACAACAUGCUACAGUACCACAAUAUGAAAAAAAAGACAUGGACAUGAUGUACAGGUAAAGCAUAACAAAACAUGAACACUGAGCUAUCUCCAGAAAUCACUAGAACAUGCUCAAAACACAUGGCAAGAUUGCAAAUAAUAACAGUUUCAGACUUAUCAGGAAAUAACAUCAGGUUGCAAUGUUUAGAGCUAUCAAACAACAUGCUACAGGAACUUAUCAUGGCAAUCAAACGCAUGGCAUGCUACUACUAAAUACAUAGAACAAAAGUCCCUUACUGACCAUGAGCCAAAAGGGCACAGAAAAUAUGAUGGUACCCAUGUAAACAUAGCAAGUAAUAUGACAGAUUCAAACAUGCAGGAACAACGAUAAGUAGCCAUGUUGGUGAGCUUGUACCACUCAUCACAGAGCAAUAUAUGGCAUGACAAGGUGACCAACAGUAAGAAUACAUGUUUAUGAAGCUAAGCAUGGCAAGAGCAAGUUCAUAGCAUGCUUGGAUAACUAACAACAAUCAUGGUAACAUUGAACUUAAAGUUAACAGGCUGACAGCAACAAUAUUUAGCAAUUUGAGAGCAAGAUAACAACAAGCUAAAGCAGGCUAUAAAUGCAACCAGGGGCAUGAAUGGAUAUAGCAUGACAUGUAUAACAAACCAUCCUUAGUGAACAUCUCCAGAUUAUGCAUAGAAUGACUUGUAGCAGCAGGUUUACAUAGCAUCCCGAAAUAACAGAUUCAACCUAGCAAAACAGUAACAGCAAGUACCCUACUUAACAAGCUCGAUGCACUCACUACAAGAAUCACAAAAAUACAUGGAUAGCACCUAUGUAAAGAUGGCAUGUCAUAGAUCAAAACUCAUGUAGGACUCAUGCUCAAAGGAUGCACACAUCAAAUGCAACAAAAAUGACAAAUCAUCAAGUUAUAAAAGUUUCAGCAGAUUAACAUCAUAUAGCACUCUUGCAACAAUGAUUCAGGCAUCAAUAUGGACUCAAAUGAACAUGAUGCAAUGGAAUGAAAUGAAGUACUCGUCAAGACGAACAAUUUGACAUGCUACACGCCCAAAACGGGGCCACGGAUGCGGAGUUAUGAUGCGAUGAACAGGAGCUAAAAAUAUGCAAAUGCUUAGGGACUUCGGGAAAAUAAACGGGGUCAACCUCAGGAUUUUCCAGAUCUGGCGUGCGCGUGGACCGAGGUGGCCGGAGGAGCUCACCGGAGAUGCUCCGUAGGGCAGGGGAGGCCGGAUCCGGCGCGGAGGGGGAGGAGGUCACCGGCGAGGGAGGCACGCGGCCUCGGGAGGCGCGGCCCCGCGGCGGCGCUCCAAGGGGCGGCGACGGCNNNNNNNNNNNNNNNNNNNNNNNNNNNNNNNNNNNNNNNNNNNNNNNNNNNNNNNNNNNNNNNNNNNNNNNNNNNNNNNNNNNNNNNNNNNNNNNNNNNNNNNNNNNNNNNNNNNNNNNNNNNNNNNNNNNNNNNNNNNNNNNNNNNNNNNNNNNNNNNNNNNNNNNNNNNNNNNNNNNNNNNNNNNNNNNNNNNNNNNNNNNNNNNNNNNNNNNNNNNNNNNNNNNNNNNNNNNNNNNNNNNNNNNNNNNNNNNNNNNNNNNNNNNNNNNNNNNNNNNNNNNNNNNNNNNNNNNNNNNNNNNNNNNNNNNNNNNNNNNNNNNNNNNNNNNNNNNNNNNNNNNNNNNNNNNNNNNNNNNNNNNNNNNNNNNNNNNNNNNNNNNNNNNNNNNNNNNNNNNNNNNNNNNNNNNNNNGCGAGCGGCAGCGCUCCGGCGAUGCGAAGAGGCGCGGGAAGGCACGGGGCAUGCGGCCCGGUGUGGCCCGGGCGGGCCGCGGCGGCGCAGGGAGGAGAGAGGGGGCGCGGCGGCUGACUUGGCGCGCUCCGGUUGGCCGGGAGCGGCGGCACGAUGACAUGGCGGUGGCUGAUUCGCCGGGGUGAGGUGGAGGCUGGACGUGUCCGGCGGGAUUGGACAUGUCCGGCGGCGGGAGGAGUUUGGCUAGGGUUUGGACUGCGCGAAAAUUCAGGGAGGGGCACAUAUUUAUAGGUAGAGGGAGCUAGGAGAGUCCAAAUGGGGUGCGGUUUUCGCCCACACGAUCGUGAUCGAAUGACCAAGAGCAUGGAGGGGGUUUGGAUGGGUUUUGGGCCACUUUGGAGGGGUGUUGGGCUGCGCACAGAAGAGGCCUUAACGGUUACCCGGUUAACCGUUGGAGUACCAAACGACCUCCAAAUGACACGAAACUUGACAGGCGGUCUACCGGUACUAUACCAAGGCCGCUUGGCAAACCUUGGGCCAUUCCGAGAAAGUUUAACACCCACUCACAACAAGAGACAAAAGGGGGACGCCGGAGGACAUAGGAGUGUCGGAUUACAAAACGGGCAACAGGGAAAAUGCUCGGAUGCAUGAGAUGAACACGUAAGCAAAAUGAAAUGCACAUGAUGACAUGGCAAUAUGCAACACGCAAGAAAAUGACAUGGCAAUGACGGCGAAUAACUGGCAGACAUCUGGCGCAUCGAAUCCGGGGCGUUACACUUGAUGCACGAGCUCAAUGAGGUUGGAGUAGGGUUGGAAGUCGGCAAUCUUCUUGAUGGGAUGAUUGAGUCCAUUCAAGAAACGUUCCAUAGUUUGCUCAUCAUCUUCCGUGACAUUGGCUCGAAUCAUGGCUAUCUUCAUUUCCUUGUAGUAUUCUUCAACACUCUUUGUUCCUUGCUUGAGGAGUUGGAGUUUCUUGAAGAGAUCGCGGUUGUAGUAUGUGGGCACAAAACGUGCUCGCAUGACUUCCUUCAUUUGAGCCCAAGUGGUGAUUGGUGGUUCACCUCUUGUUUCAUGGCGCUCAAGGACUUGUUACCACCAUAUGAGCACAUAGUCUUGGAACUCAAGUGAUGCCAUAGCGAUCUUCUUCUCUUCCUCAUAGUUGUGCAAACGAAAGAUUUUGUUGACCUUCAAUGCCCAUCAGAGGUAUUAUUUGGGAUCAUUGCUUCCGUUGAACUUGGGCAUGGUGAAUUUUAGCUUGUCGUAGCGUUGCUCUUCAUUGUGUUGUUGGCGAUGGUGAUGAUGACGCCCUUGGCAUGGAGGAUAAUCAUCCUCAUGUUGCUCUUGGCGUGGAGGAAGUCCAUGAUCAACUUGCUCUUGUUGAACUUGAGGUUGUGGAGGAGCUUGAGGAACUUGACAUUACACGCGGUUGGUAAUUCCGCUCUUGGAUUUCUUCUUGAAGUGCUUCCUCUUGAUUGCGCUGAUCUCGGUUGCGGUUGGCAAUGGCUCGGCUUGAUUCUUGAAGGGCACGUUGCGCCUCAAGAGCUUGUGCUUCCUGUUGUUGUUGUUGAAGACGUUGAGCCUCGGCAUCUUGUUCCUCUUGAUGUAGACGUGCUCGUUCUUCCUCUUGGCGACGUAGACGUUGUCGUUCUUGAGCUUGAGCAAAUGCAACUUGGUGUGGUUGAGGACAAAGUACUUGCUCAUCGACUUGCUCUUGUGAAUGCUUGUCGUGUAGAGGAUUGCGAGAUGCAUGACGGUCUUGACGCGCUGCUCGGCGAAGAGUGUUCGAUGUCGGUGUACUUGAGCCGGAGAAGGUGUCGUCGGAGUGUCGACUUGAGCGUCUUCAUCUUGAGUACGAAGAAGUAGAAGGAGGACGGUUCACUAACAAGGCGCGGAUUUCGUCCAUCCUUGCAUCAUUCUCUUGCUUGUGAGCGUCGAGCUGGUUGUCGAAGUAGUCCUUGGUACGUUGCUCGGAGAGUCGCAAAUCGGUGGCGAGGUUGUCGAUGUGGUCGGUCAUAGCUUGUUGCUCUUGAUGCAACGCUCGUUGUGCACCAAAGAGGUGGCUCUUGGUGAUGAAUGAUGACAUGUCGUCGUCUUGCUCGAUGAAGAGUGGGUUGGUAGAAGUACUCGGCCUAUCCAUCAUUCCAAGCAAAAUGUGAGUGGGAGAAGGAGAAGAACUUAUACCAAUGUACCUUGACUGUUGACGAUGAAUCAAGUUCACUCAAAUGCGAACAAUGAAAUAGCACUAUUGGUACCAAUUCUUGUCGGUUCUCACACCUACACAAGUAAAAGCUUAUGGUGGAGCUUGGUUAUGAUGGUGGCACAAAAUUUAAUGCAAUUGUAAGUGAGCUUCAAUAAUGUUGGAAAAGAUUCACAAAUUUUCAAAUGCAACAAGUAGACCAAGCAAGUAGUGGUACACGGAAGCACACACGCAAAUAGAUAAGUGGGAUUGUGCAAACCAAAAGUGAGCCAAAAUGUGGAAACCACGAAAAUGCUCUUGUUGCACAAUACGCGAGAGACGCUAGCACGAUUGCACGAUAGGCGGAUACGGAACUUGUGCACAACCUACUAGGAAAAAAUGCAAUGACCUCUAUCCCAAGUAUGCUAUGGUGUUUCGGUGCUAUGAUCCAAGAUGAUCGGGUAUGACAAUCUUAAUGUAGUAUGAUGCUAUGGUUCUUGCUUAUAAGCUCUUUGCUUAUCUUUCCUCUUUGCUUAAAAGCUUGGUUGGCUCUUUCACUUUUGAGCUCUUUUCUCAUGCAAAACUUCACGAACCAAGAUAUCAAUUGUGUAUGCGAUGAUAACUUUGUGACACACAAAAUGAUGCCAAGAUAUGCACCACGAUGGUAUGGUAUGUAUGUUAUGGAGUAUGAUCACUAAUGUGCACAAGUCACGUUGCCGGCAAUACUCAAUGGCUAGUCUCGAUGGGUAAGCUAUGCAAAUGUAAGGCCAAGUGGGUAUCAAUGCAAUUGCAAGGUAUGACAAAGAUGCCGUCGAAGUUACCGUCCUUGGCGGUGAUGAGUAGUCGAUGGAGAUGAGCGGUGGUGUUGAUGACGUUGAACCGUACCUAUAUAGCCGAAACACAAUAGGACACGGGAACCACACCCAAAAUCUCAACGACCAAAACGUGUCAAAAUCGUCAUAGGAGGUAGCAGUGAGAGGUGGUGGUGCUUGUGGAAAGCGGUGGUGGUAAGCGGAAGUAAGCGUGGGCACCGGGGCUAAAUUGGGCAAAACUAGGCGGAAAAGGGCGCGGGGGAUGGAGUUGCAGCUGCCAGGGGCCGGAUGUCCAGGCCAGCUGCCGGAUGUCCGGGACGCCGGAUGUCCGGGGGACUCGGGCGGAUGUCCGGGCUCCUGGAUCGGGGACGAACACGAUGAACUCCACAGGAGAAAGGGCAACUCCGAGGCAAAAUUUGGACGAAUUUGUGGGUGGAAAUUGCGGGAGAGGUGGGGAAAAGCUAGAUCCACUCGAUGCAAAGCAGAUCCGUGGAUCAAAUCCAACAAAACUUCAACACACCAACAAAUCACAAAAAAAAAUUGGGGCUAUUUUUGGUGGGGAUUUUCGGAAUUAGGACGAAAACAACAAAAUCAAGCUAGAAAACACGGGGUAGGGGCUCCACAAACGUGAUCAAUGUGGCUCAUGAUACCAAGAUGAUGUAGGGCGGAACCCUAUGGGGCCGAUCUUUCACAUUUGGAGAGGAUCCUAUGGGGAAUAUGAAGAACGCGCAGAAGAACACGAGGGAAAACACGAGGGGAAACAAGAGAAACACUCAAGCGACACGAAACUGAUCACACAAGUGCUAGGUCAUCGAGGGCACAAAGUAACACGAGAUCCAAAGUCAACAAGGGACGAUACAAGAGUAAUCGUUCUUCUCCAUGAGGAGGUCUUGAUUGUCUUCUCCGGAUGGAGGCUUUGAAUCUGGAUGGAUCUUCUCCGAAGAGGUGCGGUCCCUCAUGAGGAGUAGAUCCGGUACGGAUGAGCAAUGCUCUAUCUCAAAUGAGCUAACCCAAUGCUAACCCUAAAACGUAGGAGGAGAUGGAGUAUAUAUAGUCCUCGGCCCUUACACUGUUCGUAGACAGGGAAGGCCGGAUGUCCGGCUGAAGGGCCGGAUGUCCAAGCUGGUGUAGACGGCCGUGCUGCUCUCUGGAUGGGCGGCGCCGGAUGUCCGGGCGGAGUGGCCGGAUGUCCGGGGCUUCGGGAGGCAUCGGAUGUCCUGGGUGAUGACCGGAUGUCCGGGCUGUCUGGGCCACCUUCUAUGCUCCCUGGAUGGUGCCUCCGGAUGUCCGGGCUGGAGGCCGGAUUUCCGGUGAGGAGGGACGGAUGUCCGGGCUGAACGCUGGAUGUCCGGGCCCUGUAGCUUCUGCUGCAGAUGCCUUGCGGUGGUGCAGAUCUCCAGGGGCCGGAUGUCCGGGACCUUGGCCGGAUGUCUGGUGCCUGGAGGUUGUUCUCACCUUCUUUCGUUGGUUCUCUUCUUCCGUGGACUUGGGGUCUUGANNNNNNNNNNNNNNNNNNNNNNNNNNNNNNNNNNNNNNNNNNNNNNNNNNNNNNNNNNNNNNNNNNNNNNNNNNNNNNNNNNNNNNNNNNNNNNNNNNNNNNNNNNNNNNNNNNNNNNNNNNNNNNNNNNNNNNNNNNNNNNNNNNNNNNNNNNNNNNNNNNNNNNNNNNNNNNNNNNNNNNNNNNNNNNNNNNNNNNNNNNNNNNNNNNNNNNNNNNNNNNNNNNNNNNNNNNNNNNNNNNNNNNNNNNNNNNNNNNNNNNNNNNNNNNNNNNNNNNNNNNNNNNNNNNNNNNNNNNNNNNNNNNNNNNNNNNNNNNNNNNNNNNNNNNNNNNNNNNNNNNNNNNNNNNNNNNNNNNNNNNNNNNAUUCCGGACUUAGGUAGUAACCAUGUCUCAACAGGAUCAUAUGAGAUAUCACUAAGGAGAGAAGUCACCUCAGUCUCGAGAGCUCUAGCUCGUGCUCUAGUCAUGGGUCCUCUUGGUUCUUGGUGAGACGAUGGAAGGUCCAUGGGGAUGACCGAAGGAUGCUCUGCAUCACGCGUUUAGUCUGCCAAGGGUGCAAACAAGUUGACGCCGUAGUGGGAAGGCCCUUACCUGGUAGUACGUGUCACCAGACCUGGCGUAGUCCGUCUAUAGACCGAGGAUGGCAUCCCAAUGCAAAACUCAUGGAAUAUGGAGCAUCUUCACAAGUUCUACCCGUAAGGCACGAUUGUCGGGCCUUGCCCCAGCAACCUGUUUUGUACAAGCAUAGUCCCGGGGACUUGUAACCCUUUGUACAAUUCCAGGCGCAUGCCCUGUGCAUAACUGAAUAAAGCAAAGUGUUUUCACAAAACUUGCAUGCAUGAUUUCUUGUUUGCUUAAGUAUGACCUUGUUGUGAUUACGCUGGUCCUUUAGAUAAGAUAACUGACAUGCUGUAGAGGGCUUUGUGCUACCAUUCUUCCUUUUUCCGGCAAUAAUAGAAGGAUUCCUCACGAGCAAUUUCUCGGGAGGAGGACCAGCCCGUGUGUUCAGUCCUGGCGACUCCUGUAUAGAACAAUAAGAAGAAGAGCAAAGAGAGAUAAGUUCACUUAGUUACAUCCUACCGUUCCAUGUUAUGCUUAUGUAUGAGAAACUUGCACGCAAGGAAAUCUUUGCCAUAUCUACCAGUCGUGCUCCUAUUCUUGAUUCGAGUCCACUCGAAAAGCUUAGUCGUAGCUGCAUUUGAGGAGAUCGACAAAGGACCAGCCUUUAGUCGCGCUCCUAACCCAUUUUGGGAGCUCACCAAACGAGGUUCGACAGCGGCUGCGUUAAAGGCCGGCCAGAGGCUUUGCCGGAAACUUCUUUUACAAAAGAAUAUUGAAGGCUUAUCCUUCGAUAUGUCUAAGUACAUAUGCAAGUAUCCGGCAAACUUCUUUUCCGAAUUGCGUGAACAAACAAGUACAAAUCAUAUGAGUAUCAACUUGGAUGAAGGAUUACAUAGAUUUGAUUCAAACUUGGCGAGUGCCUUUUUUGAUCUAAAAAGGUAAGUGCUCCGUAAUGCCUUUCUUUUCCCUCUCCUCUUAGGUUUUGCAUUGAGGAGGAAGGAGGGGAAAGGAGUGCCUGGGCAGAAGCCCAGCCUGACCCCAUCAGGAUCAGAGGGACGCAGCCCGACAAGAUCGGGAGAGCACCUCUUCGAUAAGGAGACGAAGCCAGAAGGGCGGAAGGAGCGGCUAGGCAAUGCCCUGGUCACCCCCGCCAGGACCAGAAGGACGCGGCUCCAGCAGGAAUACCGGUAGGGAAGAUGAAGCCAGAGUCCCUGAGGAAGCCUGCCGGGGUCCAGCUGGAGGAGGCGGAGACAUCCAUAUCCAGCACCCCCGGCAAAUCGCUAUGCCGGGGGAGGGCCUGGUGCAGAUGAUGGUGUUGCCGAUGCCUAGCUGACGGUGAUGGUGCGUCCGACGCUCAGCUAAAGUCCGGAUUGUCGCCUUCGUGCUUGACGACCCGGGGCUCGUUGUCGUCGUCCUCUCCACAGGUCUCCUCCUUGUCGCUAUCGCUCGAGGAGGAGCUUUCGUCAUCGCUCGAGCUUUCCAUACAGCAUCCAAGGCGAGCUCCUGAAUGCCCAAAGACCUUGAUGGAGAGCAGAUCAGCCUCCACCAACUUGAGGGAGAGAACAUGCCCCGCUGCAAGGGAGUGGGCGUGGGCGAAGGUCUUCCACCCGCGCCCAAGGAGCAUGGCGUGUGGCAUGGGGAACUCGACAUCCACCCACGCCUCGCCAUUGCGGCAGCCACUCAUGCGCAACCGCAGCCCAGGUGGCUGGUCAACCUCCAUCACCAUGGUGAAAGGACGAGGGAGUCGCAGGCGGUUAUGUGGAGGAUAACGCAGCUUGACAAUGAACUCCAACGUCGUAUCCCCAGCGUGGCCUUCUGUCAGUGUUGGAGCAGUAGAAGAAGAUGCGGCGAGCGCGUCGCUCCGUCCACCUCGACCACGGGCGCUGCGUCGACCCCGUCCGCGCCCCUCGGCUUCACCUUGUGCACUGGAUCCAGCCCCUGCCGCAGCAGUUGGGACAGGAACAUGGCGCCGAGGAGGAGUUCUCGUCGCCACUGAUGAGGCACAAGGGCGACCUCUUCCCCUCGCCAUAGUGGAAGCAGAGGUAUGGUAGGAGAAGAAGGAGAUGGUGGAUGAGCAUCGCUAGCCUCACACGCCUCCUUUUAUAAUGGAGUGGGGAAGGGCUGGCUCUCCUCUACUCUGGGGUAACCGCCCCACUUCCCCAAUUCAGCCCUCUGCAUUUCUAAUGGCGUCUUGAUUCAUCAGUCGCCCCACUACUCCAAUCCAAGGCGAUGUGCAUUCUGCCAAGGCACACGUUCCCAUGCCUCGCGCGUCUGUCACCAACCCCGCACAAUGCAUGCAGCGCGCGUGGCGGAAACGACAGGCGUAGUGGGUAGAGGGAAAGAUAAAAUGGCAGUUACCCCAGAUCAUGUGCGGGCGUCCUAAUGGUUUCCCGUGGGCGUGGGUGUCUCUUCGUGAGAAUCCUAGGGAAUGGCCCUGAUUCAGACCAAUGAAGAAGCAAAGAAAAUCUCAAAAGAUACUAUAUCCACUUCGGCAAGUUCAACACGAGCGCCUGCGUGUUUGUUGGGCCUACUCCAACAAUGCCCAGCGACAUGUACGAACCAGACCCGGGGGCUCCUGUCUGUGCAACAAACAUGUAUGUUUGCUACCCUGACAUCAACAUUAGACACAGAAUGAAGCUAGAGAAGCCACUCUUCGUGAGAUAAAGGAGCGCAUUAAGAAGACCAAGCCAACCCAAAGGUUCACAGGAAAGCCUCCCUUGCCGGACAAGCAGGCCAGUGGGGUCGAGGCCACACCUGGGACCAAGGCCAGGCCACCCGGCAGGAUUUCCGGGGCCGCCAGGGCCAAGGCCAAAACCCAAGCCAGAAGACCCGGCAGGCACCAUGCCGGCAAACCUCCACCGCUCCACCUCAUCAGAUCACUAGUCACUAAUCAGUGCGGUGUCAAGCUCUCGAGCGGCUAGGUGGAUCCUGUCAAGCACGUGGCGGCCCGCUGGAGGAAGAAUGACCUUUAAUGACACUCGUGCCAAAGGCAUGUCACGCAGAUACGAGGUAGCCAGGCAAGCGAUGGAGAAACCUUGUCAGGGUUACCCCUCCACACGACACCUAGUAAGUGCAUUUAAUGCUCCUUGUCCUAACUGCCAGAGUUAGGUAUGAUAACACUGCCAGCUAUCUAAUCAUGCUAUAAUGACCGUUUUGCCACUGUGGUCGCCCCUUAAGCUAUAAAAAGAGGCCCGAGGCAACCUAGCAAAGGGUUCGAAUCUUUGAUCCUGCAACACUUGUAUGAGCAUAGCUGCUCUCCCGAAGGCACCCUUGCCGGGCGUGUCUUCGUGUUCCUCCAGAUCAAUCCACCAAAGCAGGAGUAGGGUGUUACGUCGCAAAGCGGCCUGAACCUGGGUAAAAGAGAGUUGUGAGUCCCGUGUUGCCUUGCUGCCUCACCUCUUUGUGCAAUGCGGUCGUCCCUCGCCAAACUACAAAGGGGCCUCUCAGUCCCAUAGGUGAUCGUGGUCUGCCACGACAAAUUCCUUCUCCCAACACAAAUUGUCGAGUUCACCAUUCUCUAGAUGAAGUCUCGCUAGAAGAACUAGGAUCAUCUACAUUCUUCCCACGUGAACUAACUCGUCUUCCUUCUCCGACAAAUUUGCCAUGACUAACGGUCUCCCCGUCACUGCAUCCAACCCCUUGCUACCUCGCCUUCAAAGUGGUUGCAGGCAACGAGGGAACCAUUGAUCCCAACGGAGAGGUCGUACUCGGUGAACGCACAGCGGGCAACCACCAAAAGACUUGGGAACCCUAGGGGUGUGUGUGGGGGGGGUGUAAGCAGAACGCCUCAAUGAAUGGCAGUGGUGGUUGAUUCAAGAUAAAACUAUGGUCUAAUGGACUUGCUUGGCAGAGCUGACGAUCUGAUUGUAGUUCUAUGAUUCGAGAGAUAAUUGCAUCUAUAGUCCUCGUACUCGCUGGCUACGUCCACUUCAGUCCUGGUACUUGCGUAUUGCAUCGAUACGGUCCCGGUACAUGAAAAUACGUCGUCAAUACGGUCCCUGAGCUUGAAACGCCAGUCCUGGCUCUACACGUGCACGACGUACACCGUACUCCGCUGUAUGCCACGUCAGCCAGGGACCCACCAGUCAGCUCGGACCCACCCGUGGGAGUGGAUAAGGCUGUAGCCGUUUCGUCCUGGGGCAAAAAAUCCCCAAUUCCGCUCCCGCAAUCCCUAGCAUCUCGUCACCCAAAUCCUCCGAUGGGCGGCGCGAGCGUCACCUCCACCACCCUGUCUGGCGGUUCGGAGAGCGAAGACGGCGGCACCUUCUCUGCGGCGCUCGUCCCCGGAGGUGGAUCGAGUCGCAGCUUGCUGGCGCGGGCUUAUCCGCAGGAGAUUUGGCGUCGGGGCGAGCCUUGUCUCCGGCCGGAGAGAAGCCAUGUCAUGCUAACGCGCACUCCAUCCAUGGAUGCGUUUGAGGCUCGCCACCGCGGGCUCGUCCUACUGGCCACUGCUGUAGGAGACGGCGAGGAGGCUCUGACGCCGGCCGCACUGCUGGCCGCCAUCCAGGAGCGCUUUGGCGUGCUGCCGUCGGAGUUGAGCAUCGAGGUGGCCUGCCCCCCUCAUGACCUGUGGCUGUUGUUCUCAACGGAGGAGAAGUGCACGGUGGUGCUCCAAUCGUCGAUGAAGUUGAGGUGCUGCCGCCGGUGGAUCAAGUUUGAGCGCUGGGUAAGAGAGAUUCGCGGCACUCCGGCUGCUCUGGAGUACAAGUGCAAGCUUAGUUUCGAAGGCCUUCCCGAUCAGGCGUGGUCGAAGCAGUCAGUGAAAGGCCUGCUGAAGGACUUGGGCGGAGAGCUGAUAGAGAUCAUACCGCCGAAGAAUCGGCGCGAGCUGGAGGUAAUGGCGUGGCUCCGUGACCCAUCUAAAGUUGGCAAAGUGGUGGACGUGGAGAUACCCGAGCCUAUGCUGGCAUUGUGCACAGAUCCUCCUCCACAGUCGCUUGAAGAGUUCGUCGACCGUGAAAUGGCCUCGUCCUACGGUCCUUCGUCGCCGAGGAAGAAGAAGACUCUGUUGUAUCCUGUGAUCUGUCACAUGAAGGAGGUGACUGAUCGUGGUCCGCUGCUCGUCGAAGGCCUGCCUGAUGCAUGGCUGCCGAAUGAAGGGGAGGACCUGACUCGCAAGCACCGAUUCAGCACUGUGCUUGGACAAAUCGAUGGCAGUAUCUGUGAUUUCUAAGGUGUAAAGGAGUCUGAACCACUAUGUAUGUCUCAAAUGUAGUCUGUGAACCACUAUCUAUUUUAAGUGUGUCUUUUGUGAACUUGGUAUCUAAUAUUCAGUAAUUGUGAGACUAUGUAAGACUAUCUAUGUAUUGUUGAGAUGAUCUUCUAAUAUUGUACCUGUUGUGUCAUUAUGUGUUGUGUGAAAUAUUAUGUGCUUUGUCAAAAUGUGUUGUAUCUUACAAGUACAUUACAUACAAAAAGUUACUCAUCUGGAGCAUGAUCAUGAACACAAUCUGCAUACAUAAGCUGGAGUACAGAAUCUGCAUAUAUAAGGUGGAGUACAUUCCAUACUAAAAGUUACUGAUCUGGUGGUAACAACACAAAAUACAUGAUCUGGAGCAUGAUCAUAAGUAGAACACACAAAAAAACCAUCUACUUUCCUCGAGCUUGACCUGCAUGUCUCCUGUCCUACCUUAGUUCAUCGAACAUGCUAACUUUUCUAGGUUUUUUAAAUCCUCUCAUGUUGUUACUUGAACUUGGUGCACUUGAAGUUCCACUUCUCUUCAUUUGUGAUGGUUUGGACUGACAUGCAAGCAUCCUAUGUUCCUCUGCCAUUGCUUCUCUGAUUUGUUGGGCUUCCUUCUUGUUUCUCUCUUGCACACAUGCCUCAAAUCUUGUUUCUUCCUCUUGGUUUCUGUUGUGCUCCCAAGCUUCCUGCCUUGAUGCCUCCUGUGUUUGGAGAAAUAAUUGCCUUCUUUCCAACUCUUCAGCUUGAUUUAUAAGGAACAUUGCCUCCUCUGCAUCAUAUCACAGAAUUAUUUGACAACUCUUUAACUGCCUUUAUUAAACCCUGCAUGAAACAUAUCACAGAAUUAUUUGACAUAAACAUAACUCUUUAUUUGACAGAAGCAUAGCACAGAAUUAUUUGACAGAAAUAUAGCACACAAUAAGUAUUUGACAGAAUUAAAGACAUACUUUUUGCUUGUCUGACAUGAUUGUCCAUAACUCAGUGUUCACAAUUCCUAAAUCUUGCUUCAAUGCAGUUAGAAACCACCUCCAAGCUUUGGUGUCCUCACUCUGCAGCACUGCAUGUGCAAUAGGAAUAAUGCAAUCAUUGGGGUCCAUUCCUACUGCACUUAACAGAACACCUCCAUACUGUGUCUUUAAGUGGCAACCAUCUAGGAAAAUGAUUGGCCUACAAGCACAUAAGAACCCCCUCUUGCAUGCAUCAAAAGAGAAGUAGCACUUCUGAAAUUGUCCCUCUUCUGACAGUCCAAGAAGGAAAGUACUUCCAGGGUUUGAUCUCCUCAGCUCAUUUGCAUAGUCCCAUAGCAAGUUGUAUUGUGCAAUCUCAUCUCCAUAUAUGAUAUCAUAUGCAAUCUUCCUAGCUCUCCCCAGCUUGCCCCUUUUAAUUGUCAUGUUCCAAUCAUCUUGCACAAAAGCUGCAAAAGCCUUCAAUGAUAAUUUCUCACGUGCCCUGAUUUUGUCCACAUAUUUGUGAGCAAUGUACCUAGCUGUAAAGGCUGUAACUUGCCACUUUUUCUCACAAGUAUGUUCCCCAUUAAAUGUUUUCACCAUGACAGAAUUUGUUCUAUUAUCCCAAGAUGCAUACAUAUACCAGGGGCAACCCUUCUCACACUUUGCAGCAAGCCUGAUUUUGUCAUUCUUUGGAAAUGUGAUGUUAACUCUCUCUUUGCAACUAUACUCUCUCACAGCUUUCCUCAACAGCUCCACAGAAGAGAACAACUGCCCUGCAUGGAACUUAGGUUCUUGCAUGCCUGCUGCUGUGAAAGACUUGAAAUUGAAUUUCAUCUCAUCCUCAUCUGAAUCUGGAGCAUUUAAUUCCUCAUCUUCUGAGUUGCAAUCCUCAACCACCUUCUUCCCUUUCUUGUCAUGCAUUGGUUGCAACUCCUCCUGUAACAGAUCAUCAUCUCCAUCCUCCAAGUCAUAGUCACUAUCCACAAUCUCAGGUACAUAAUCACUGUCUGAGGAAUCUGAGUCUGCAUAUUGUUCUUCCUCCUCUUCUGUUUUUCUUCCCCUUGGUCUCAACUUCACAUAUAACUGUUGAGUGCUCUCAAUUUCAACACUUUCAUCCACAACACCACAAGAAACAUUGCUCUCACAGGGAUCUUUGUUCUCAGUUGCAUUCAUUUCCUUCUUCCUUGGGCUGAAAACAGGAGGGAUUUGUGCUGCUGGAUUAGCCACAACAUCAUCCCAUUCUGCUCCUCCUCCAGAAAUGUGGCUAUCUAAAUGAUCCAGGUAUAUCAUUUGAAAGUGGUGCCCUAGAUUUAUCUUUAGAUACAUACAGUCCACAUCAGUAUCAUUAGCCAAAAGCCGUGCAGCACCUUCAUUUAGCUGACAACCAGGGGGCAACCAAUAGAUAUCUAUUCUACCUGACAUUUCAUAACCCAAUUCCUCGACUAUUUCUUCAAACAUGCUGAAAUAGGUGAUGUCCUUAUGACAGUAAUCAAAGCAAACCUUAUGGCCAUCCAGAUAGCACCUAUUCUGCCCACUCCCAAAGAAAAAGCCUCCAUGGAUCACCUCAACAGUGAAAUAUCCACUUUCUCUAUCUGAAAAACAAUAAGAACAUCAAUUAUUUCAGAUAACUGAACAUUAAGAACAUAAAUAACUCAAACCCUAGAAUAAUUUCUGCAAAUUUGCAUACAGUCCACAUAUUCAUAGAACUAGCAUGGGCAAAACGGCCUAAUCACAGCAAAUAAACAUUUUUUCACCCCAAUUGUACAUCAAAUCGACCCAAGAACACUGGGUACUGACGUACCGUACGCCGGAGCCACCUCGCCGUCGGGCCGCCGUCGCCGGACCUGCAUCGCCGCCAAACUGCGUCGACUCCUUUCACCGGGCGUCCAACUUGCUUCAGCCGCCGCACGCAAUACGAACAGAGGGCGCACGAUACGCCGAUCAUCCGCCGCCGCACACCAUGGCCGCUAGGGUUGCUCUCUGCUCGCACUCCUCUGUUUAUCAUGGGGGGGGGGGAGAACAGGGGAGAUCGAGACGAGAACAGGGGGCAAUUUGCGAAAUAAUAGGUGGGGCUAGAGCUGACUGGUGGGUCCGAGCUGACUGGUGGGUCCCUGGCUGACGUGGCAUACAGCGGAGUACGGUGUACGUUGUGCACGUGUAGAGUCAGGACUGGCGUUUCAAGCUCAGGGACCGUAUUGACGACGUAUUUUCAUGUACCGGGACCGUAUCGAUGCAAUACGCAAGUACCAGGACUGAAGUGGACGUAGCCAGCAAGUACGAGGACUAUAGAUGCAAUUAUCUCAUGAUUCGACCAGCGAGUGUCCCCAUUCGGCUGAACAUAUUCAUCAUGAACAAAUUACUCACGAAAUCAAUAGUGUGCAGCAGGAGAAAAUGCCAAAACGCAUGCAAGAGAUCAUAUCGUCGUGGCUGACACAGUGUAGGUUUGUAGAGCAAAGCGCCAACAAAAACAUCGCACCGAUGGUAGCACAAUGGGUGUGUCUUAUAAGAUACGUAAUAUCUGUUCUAAGCAGCACACGACCAUGGAAACACAAAUCUUAUCUAUAUCCUGAUCGCAGAAUCUUGGCCACAAACAUCUCCAAGCUAAAAACACAAGAUAACAUCGAAUCGUAAUGGUUCCAGAUAAGUCUCCAUCAGCAGGCAAUACAGCAGACAGGAGGUACGAGAUUGACAAAGGCAGCACCAGUCAGAUCACCACAACCAAUAAUCGGGUUAACGACCUUCAAAUUACAUGAUGAUGUGAAUGCUCCACUCCGCCUAUGCUCCGUCGGUGAGGG